UUAUUUAGAAGUGGCACUUUUAAAGGACUAACAUAGCUUCAAAUAAUUGUACCUUGUGCUUAUUUAGAAGUGCCACUUCUAAAGGAACUAACAUAGCUUAAAAUAAUUGUACCUUGUGCUGAAAAUGUGAUGAGACAAAUAAGGACAUUUUUGGUAUUGUCAAGAUUACUUUUGGUCAAUUCAUUGUAAUAGAGACAUCUGUACUCUAUUUGGUCACACGUGUCUUGACUUAGCCAGCCAAUCUUUAUCUUCUUUAUCCCAAUCUUUAUCUUCUUUAUUAUCUUUAUAUUUAUUUAUUAAAUUAUUUUAUUACCCUUAUAUACAAGUGAAAGUUGAGAGGGACGAACAAGGGCAAAAAGGUAAUUCUAAUGUUAAUUUUGGGUAAAUCUGUAAAUAACCUUUUCCUCUGUUAUGUAUAUCCACUUUCUUUGUCUUCAUUCUUUACACAGUAGAAUCUACAAUAUGCUCCAAAUCUAUUUUCACUUUGCUCUUUCCCGGAUUCUGAUUAUAGAUUUGAAUCUCUGUUUCGCCUUCAACUUUGUUUUCACUGUUGUUGUGUUCUUUAGUUGUGGUAAGAUUUUCUUUCCCCUUUCCCCUGAUUUUUCUCAACUGAUUCCGCCAGAAAGGUAAUUUUUUUGGGAAAAUCAUUUGAUGAGUAAAUCGUCGUAAUAUAGAAGUAGAAAUCUUGGUGUAGCAUGUUUGAAAAUUUGGACAUAUAUUGUGCUUAGUUGAUGGUGAGGAUAUCAACUCUCUAUAGUUUUCAACUUUAUGUUUACGUUCUUCAUUUAUUUACUUGACUGGUUGGUACAAAAACAGGUUCUGAAGCUAAAAUCUUUCUCCAAGUUUGACGUUGAGAACACCUCAGAAGCUCUGUCAGAAGCUAUGUUGUUGAUAAAUAGCAACCCCAACAAAGGACUGCGCAAGUUCUUGAAAGCACACUGUGAUGGGGAAACUUUGGUAGUUGCUGAUUCAAAGCUUGGAAAUGCAAUUAAAGAGAAAUUGAUCAGCUCCCUUCUUAUGUCAAUUCAACAAUUGUAUCUAAUUUGUUCAUGCAUGUUCGCAAAUAGAAAUAAAUAGGUAGUAGAUGACUUUGGAUCCUUGAUGCACAUAGUGCAUCUAAAAGUUUUGUUUUUCAAUAGUCUUGGUUUUGGUGCUUCUACCUAUUUUGGGGUUAAAAGGCGAAGAAGAGGAAAUAGUUGAACUUGGGGACAAACAUUUGAGUCCAACUACCCACAUAGAAUUUAGCAGACCUUUUUACACAUUCACUAAAUUAUUCCCUUUAUAUUUAGCUCUUAUGCUGCACUUCCCUUUCGAAUUUUCAGUUUAUUUUCCUAAUUCAGUUCUCCAAUUUUCAGCUAUUACUUUCUUCAUUUCAUUGUGCUUUAGAAUUCAUUGCUUUCUAUUCUCCUCUUUCACUUUAUUUUCUCCUAACUACAUUGUAUUUUAAUUUGCUUUCCUGUGCAACUGGACCUUCGUUGACAAUGAAUCCUGUAUAAAUUUAAAGCUCAAAUCCUCAAAUUAUGAAAGAUCGGAUAUUUCAAGACGUUGUUAUUCUCUCCAUUAAAAUUGAACUACACUUUUGGUACAUAUGCUUUGUAAUCUCUCCACUAAAAUUGGACUACGACUUUUCAUACAUAUAAUUUGUAUAAAUAACUUUUAGUGGUUCCGCAGUAUACCCAUCCAACAUGUUUGAUCAUAUACGUGGAAAUCCCUAACAAAAAUUUGUUGUCUUUCUUUUGCAGCAGGUUGUUCAAAAUAUUUUGCUCCAUCAGUCAACAACUCAAAAUGUAUGUUGUCAUCAGGCAACCUCACUUCUAUCGUUUAUAUUUGUGUUAAAAAUAUAUAUUUCAAAUGUAUGCCUUAAACUCAAGCCUAAAGAAGAAUAUGUAUAAACAAAUUUUUCAAAAGCAACUGCUAAUUGACUGAAAAUUGAAAUUGAUGCUUCACUUUUGAUCUUUCCUCAUUUAACUUCUAAUUUUAGCAAACACUUUAUUUCUCUAAAGAAAAUACAAUUGAGGAUUAUACAUUUACGCCUUUAGGUCUUCAAAGAAAAAUUUGAUCUAUGCACUUUUUGGUUUUGAUCAAACAGCAGUGCCUAUCAUAACAACUAUGCUAAAAGAUCUCUUACUCUUAGCCAUUAUGGUAGAAUAACUGUAACAUUCUAGAUUUCAUUUUCUUAACAACUCUUAUAUGCCACUUGAUGCAAUGGUAAACAUAAUAUUGCCUUUGUAAGAGGCCUUUCUCUGUCAGAUUGGAUAUGCACAGUUGAUAUGAUAGAAAUUUAGCACUUCACUGGUUAUAUUCAUGUACCCUUAUCGCCUUAUUAAUGUUCUGCCGCACAAAAAUCAUAGUUUAGGUUUGGAGUGAUAUUUCUACAACAUCCACUACUUUAUUCUCUUGACUAUUGACAGAAAUAUGUCAAUGAAAGGAAAUCAGGUAUCUUGCAGGUCUCUUGGAUAUGCUCCAAUUCCUACAUCCUUUAGUCCAGUGGGCAGUUCUAUCAAUGUGCUCUUAAUUUUUCGCUUUCUGGUACUAUGGAGAUAGGCGACACUCCUUUGCUAUUCUCAAUGGAUUAUUUUCUUAUGUCGUUGAAAUCUUUUCUUCUUUCUAAUUCUUUUUUGUACUGAAAACAGGUGCAACUUGAACCAUUUCACUUUGUCUCCGCGAGUAUGAAAAUGAGAGUAUUCACAUGGUGUCCACUUUGUGACUUCACAACGCUCAUCAAAUUUACUUUUCGGAAUUGGUAAAGAGAGAGGUACAUGCUAAUGGAUGUAAAAUUAGAUGAUAAUCAAAGACUUCAAAAAAUAAUUUAUGUAUAAAAAAGAUUAAAAUAUACCUUGAAAUUUGCUACAAGGAUCAUAUAUAUCCCUACAUGAUUUUUUUUAAUUUAAAAGUCAAAAAUAUAAAUUUAAAACUAUUUUUUUCACUUCCGUUAAAUUAAGGGUAUAUGUGAGCUCAUUUUGUAACGGUAGGGGUAUAUGUGAGCCGUUUGUAUAACGGUAAGAGUAUCCACUUUUUAUUAACGAAGGUUAAGCUUAUCUAUCACGUUGUGAACUUUCAGAUUAAUUGGCUUGAUCUGAUUUUUGGUAUAUUUCCUCCUAAAAGACGAUCCAUUAAAUUUUUCACAUCCAUUUAGUUAACUGUAAUACAAAAUGACCAAUUUUUGGCAGUCAAAACAUGAAAUGCUUUCUAGGAGAGUUAUAUAAAUUGUGAUACAUCCCAAUAAUAUACAUCCCAAUAAUUAAUGAAAAGGAAUAUGUGAGAAGAAAAGUGUUUUAUGCAAGCGAUAACAAUAUCAAGCUUUUAAAAUUUUGUUUCUUAAACUUUUGUGGUUCGAGUAAUCUUGUAUCUACAGUUUUUUUAUAUUUAGUUCAUGAUGUAUCGGAAUAAGCAGUUCAUUUACAUAUUAAUAUUUUCCACGUAGAUGCUUUUUGAUAUCUAAAUGGCCAUAUCAGUUCAAGGUUUUAUGUUUUAAAUUUCAACUUUCAAUUCAUUUUGGGAUCAGCCAAUUAAUUAAAUUUUAAUUGCUUGCUUUUUACUAAGCUUAAAUGCUAGCAUUGCAGGAACAUAUGUAAUUUUCUUUUGGUUGCUUCGCUCUUCCUAUCAAGGGUGAUUGCUUAUAGUUCUAGCUGAAGGAUAUGACAGAGAUGACCUACCUCUUAAAGUUUUUAUUUUUUUAUUACAAACAAUACAAUCAAAAGUAAAUGAAGAUGAGGUGAACAAAACUUUCGGUCACAAUACUCAAUCAAUUAAGGCCCCAGGACUUCUCCCGUUCUCUUGGAGAUGAGUGAAGACACAAGCAGAAGAAAGAGUAGAAGGUAAGAUAAUUUUUAUUCGUUCUUUUAAUAUCUUCUUUAUUAAGAAAGUUAUAUAGUUGUGGUGACAUUUACAAGUUUUUGCUCUCUUUGUUGUUGGGUUUAUCUGUGUUGAGCUUUUGUUGCUUAUUUUCUUUUACUGUUAUUUCUUAAUUUUCACAUUAACACUCAUCACUAUUUUUAGUGAACUUUUGAAGUUGUACACGAGAAUUGAUGAGGUUGUUGGUGUAUAUUUUAUUCCCAUUUGAUAAUUUAGUUUGAAACAUGUAUGUUUUGACAUGUGCUGAUUUUCAUAGAUUUGGAGAUUACUAAGGUAGAGAGCUCAAAACUUUUGUGGAUUAAUUUUGUGCUAUUGUCUGAUUGGUUUUUUUUUGCUUUUAUUUCCUUGAACAGUUUGAUAGGAUUCAUUGGUAAACAAAAAAGACAUGUUUAUCACGAAGAGAAUGUAUCUCAAGAGAUAAAAGCUAUUUGUUAUGAAGAUAUAUCAUACUGGACUACAACACUGUAUUCAUUGAGCUCUCAUUACUGUGACAUGUUUCAUGGUAAAUCCCAAUUUUGCUAAUGUGGAAUGAUUUUUACAUUUUCUUAUUUGUUUAGUUUAAAUGCUAUGAUUGUUUGAGGGAUAUUGGGUCUAAUCAGAUCUGACACACUUUCUACCAGACUACAUAAGGAGCCUUAAAAAAGAACACUAUAACAGGUGGAUGUAUAGAGAAGUAAUGAAAGUUAUGUUCUCACAUUAUUCAAUUAUUUGAAGGUUAAAUCGACUAUUUGAUCUCAGUUCCUAAGACGUUAAGUGUUGAUUGAUCUUCCUCCCCAAGGAGCUCAAUUUACCUCUGCACGGAUGAUCUAGAUCAGAAGAUUUUCAAAACUUUCAAUAAUUUCUUACCAUUUAAGGUAUAGUUUUAUUCAUGUCUUCUUCUUUUUCCCUAUCUUCUUCUCGAAUUUCCUCAGUGUGUGAUGUACUAUGGUGGCAAUUCUCUGUCUACAAAGACACUGUGUUAAAGAAAAAACUAAAAUUGAAAUUUUGGGUUAAGAGAAGAACUUCCUUGAGGAUAUUUGAUUUUGAUAGUUAUUUUUCCUUUUCCUUCAUUUUUUUCCCCAACUCAAUCAGACGAUCACUACUUUACUUAUUUAAUUUGUUAAUAUAAGAUGUAUGUCUCUUUCAAAAUUCUCUGUCAGUACCCUAACUGCUAACGUACCGAAAUAAAAAGAAAUGGUAACAAGGAAAUUGCCUUGAAUCUUGAUGCAACCAAUGUGUUUGAUGAAAUUACCAAUGAAAAAUAAAUGGCCACCAUCAAAUUAAUUAACUUGUUCUCUGCAAUCACUCAAGCUAUUUACAUAAUAUUACUAAGGAUUACAACUUUGUACUCAUUGACACAUGUUUGCAUGCAUACAUGGAGAAGAGGUAUGAAAUAGAUAAGUAUUUUUAGAGCAGCAUAACGAGCACUGAUCCUAAUCUAGAAUGAAAACAAGGCAAUCCAAGACUGAUUCAAAAAUUCAAAAGGAAAUUCAAGAAAUACAUUCAGAUAUGUCAAUGGUGUCAUUCCUUUUCUCUCUAUUUUUCUGUUUUUCUCUUUGCCCAGUUUCUCCAUUUUCUUCCUCAAUCUUUUGUGCUUUGGUUGUGUGCAGUUUCUAUCUCAAAUAUUGUUGGAAUUUAUGUUUUGGCUAUAUCAAAGAAAAUGAGAUGGUUUGACCAUUGAAAUCGAUACACCUCUGAAUGGGCACUUGAUUAAACACUUGUAGGAUUCACAUUGCACCGAUUUUGAGAAAACCUUCAAAGACCAUGAUGAUGCUGCAUUGAGUAAGUGCUUGCUCUUUGUCAUCUCAUGUUAUUCAGAUUCUUCAUAUCAGUAUAUCAUGUAUGCUAUUCCUAUUCAAGAAAAUAUACAUAUCAUAUUUCUGCAAUCUGAAUGGGGUUAAAGUAAAUUUAGCCAUUUCAUUUUUUGUUUUCAGUUUUGCGCCUAUUUACCUUUUUGUGGCUUUAAAAAAGGGCACACAUUUUCAUGAGUCCAUGUCAAGCUGCUAAAUUAUAGAAAUUGAGUGUUUUUGUUUUGUUCAUGUUAAUUUUUCCCAGAGGUGUUUUUCUUUGUUGCUCUGUUCACAUUCAUCUAUUUGUUUAAUGAGAUUCUCUAGAUGGUUCUUUAAUAAUUAAAGGUAACAGAGAGCUCAAGUUAGGCCUUUCUCUGUCAGAUUGGAUAUGCACGGUUGAUGUGAUAGAAAUUUAGCACUUCACUGGUUAUAUUCAUGGACCCUUAUCGCCUUAUGAAUGUUCUGCCACACAAAAAUCAUAGUUUAGGUUUGGAUUGAUAUUUCUACAACAUCCACCACUUUAUUCUCUUGACUAUUGAGAUAAAUAUGUCAAUGAAAGGAAAUCAGGUAUCUUGCAGGUCUCUUGGAUAUGCUCCAAUUCCUACAUCCUUUAGUCCAGUGGGCAGUUCUAUCAAUGUGCUCUUAGAUAGGGAACGAGCACUGAACGAAAAAUACUCAACUUGACGCCCAUAAAAUAUUUUAACAACAACAAAUUAAGGUAUUAAAAUUUCUCUGCUUGAUUGAUAUCUUUAUUUAUCAUGCCUCUAUUAUACAUUUGGUAUUAUUCUGCAAAAGAAUUGGUAAAUUUCAAUACACAAAUCAAUUGUACAUGCAUGAAACUCAAAGUGGUCUUCUGUUCAAAUCUACUCACCUAUGUUUGUGUACAAAAUUUUCAACUAAUAUUCUGAUAUAACUUUUGUUAAUUUGUGAACUUGCAAUUUAAGUUGUAGACUAAGGUACAUCUGAUAACCUAAUUGUUCUUCUCAGAUGAGUUGUACACUGUUUAUCCUAGAGUAUUUUCCUUUGUUAUUUUCUCAAGUAAUUUAGAGCUCACAUGGCUCACAACAUUCCUUCUUGUCUCGCUCGCUUAGGCUUUCUUCCCGUUUUUCUCGACUCCGAGCUCUUGGAAUUGGAAUAAAUUCUGAUAAAAGAAAUAGAUGCAACAACUUCUCUUAACCAUUGACUAUCCUUACUGCUCCCUCGCCGAUAAAUGGCUUGCCUCUUCUCCAACAAAUCACUACUGGUACUUAUACUAAAUUUCAAACUUCCGUUUCCAAAAUUUAUCUUUAAUGUUGAAAAUUCUCAAUUUUGACAGUCAUCUGCAUUCACUCUUAAAGAAAUAAUUGGGUAUUGAAUUAUAAAGAAAAUUUCUUAACUUAAGAUAUCAUGUAUAACAAUAGAUAUAUUUCACUAUUUAUGUAUCUAUCCUAUAAUUAUUUUCUUUUGUAGUCAAAACUUAUGCAAUAACUGUCGCCAUUCUUUUUGUUGUUUAACUCCUUAGAUCCCUAAGGGAAGUGGACGGUUUACUUACACAAAGCCAAAGAAUAGAGACUUUGUACAAUUGCGGAAUCUGCUUGACUCUUUUAAUGUCGUUGAUACUUCGCUUAUAACUAAACAGAACCGACAGAAGGUGCAACAAUCGAGAGUUAAAAGAACAAAUAGGAAAUGUCAUUUAUUUAUUAAAUUCUUGCUCUUAACAUCCUUCCCCUAGACCACUUUCUUAGGUUUUCUUGAACUAUUAGUCUAUGUGUAAGGCUAAACAGGUUCGUUAGAUUUUAUUUAUGUGCAUUUAUCACACACUUUGUGCAAUUUUGACUUAAAGGGAUGGGGCACAGGAAAAGGAAAUGUAUAUGAGGCAGAAACUUUUGUCAUAAUUGAUGAUGUUAGACUUUUGUAAUUUUAAAAUCGGAUGCACAUCUGAAUAAAGUAUGGUCUUGAUGUUUUGGGGAUGCCAUUAAUGUAGCUGAUUGUUAAGUGGAUAAAUUUCAUGUAAUGAGGAAUUCUGAGAAAUCAUUUUCUUUUGUAAUCAAGAUUUUAACCUGAUAAUGUUGGUAGCAUAUAUUUGUACUACACGUUAUUGUGCUCUUAUUAGCAAAUUUCUUCCGGAAUGUUAUCUGUAUAAUCACUUGUGUAGUAUUUAUCAAAAAGACACCGUCCUAUUGCAUGGUUGCAGUACGAGAUUCUUUAGGAUUGCCGUUUUCCUUACUUUUUUAAUAGGCUAUGAGAGACAAUUUCUUUUCAGCUUCUUCUUAGAUAUGCAAAUGACGUUAUUUCUCCGGUUUAUUGAUUGUUUUGGCAUAGAAGGAUGAUGAGAUUGUUAGUAUACAGAUGUUGCUAGCUUUUAUUGAGCAGUCAAAAGGAGAGAAGUCUCCGCAAAAUGUAACCGAUCAAGAGAUUCUUGAAAGGUGGGACACCAUUCCUGUCUUUGUGGUUGAUCUAAAUCAUACUACAUCCGAUAGAAAAUGAUUAAAACAGAUUCCUUUUAUGUUAUUGUUAUUGUUCUCUUGCAAUUGAACAAAAAGUUAGAUCUUCUCUCAUCUCUAGAUUUAAAAGUUAAAGUAGAUGUUCCAUUAAAAGAAUAUUCCUUUAUAACACGCAUCGAAAGAUCAACAACAAGUGGUAAGGUAAUGAAUACACUGAGGCUGCAUGCAAGUCCCUCUUCACAUUAGAUCAACUGCCAAAUUAUAAAAAUGUAACCUCACAAGGUACUAUAAAGAGAUAACAGGGAGGUGUAUAUUAUCUUUUAUGAGAAAAAGAAGCUUAUAAGAGCAUUAGUAUACAAGCUUUAUUGUUUUUUUUUAGAACGAAAAGAAAACAGAGAUUGAAAGAGCAAAAGAGGGGAUUUUUAAUUAUCCAGAAAAGGGAAUGAUGGGACCAAAGUCGGCAAUAGCAGUUUUGAGUCUCACUAUUAAAUGCACUUUUACUGAACAAACAAAAACAAUGCAACCAUAUAAAACUCUUCAUUAAUAUAUUACCCGUGUCAACAUUUCUAUUUGUUCCUCUUCUCUGUUCUUAUGUGGGUUUUUUUCCUUCUAGUGAGGAUAUUGAUUUAUUCGAUGGAGGAGACAAUAAAAAUAUCAACUAUUGAUUUUGCCAAAAAAAAAUUGUCACUUAAUUUAUUGUGAUUGAUUUGGAAAAUUACAUUGAUGAUUUGCUUGGCUUUGUAUGAAUGCAUAGUAAUACAUACAAUAACCAUUCACACUAUAUUUUUACCAAGCUUGACAAUGUUUCCUACCAACAUUAUUUAAAAUGAAUGAUAGUGUAUCUCAGUAGUUUCGUCAAUAAAUGAGGAAGCUAUGCUUUAUAAAUUAUGAUUAUUCAGAAAUAUUUAUUGCUAUUUCAGUCAUAUUUUUAAGAUAGAUUUAAAUUAAUAAAAUUAUAUCAUAAUUUAAAAUGUUGGGCCCGUGCUUAGCACGGGCAAGAACCAUCUAGCCUAUUUAGAAAUGGGAGUUUGGAGGACCAACAUUGCACUAAAGAGUUGGACUAAAAGCUAUAGAAAUUGUACAUUGAGGCCCACCAAAAAUAUGAACUAUUCUUUUUUCUACUUUCCAUUCUCCCCUUUUACUCUUUUUAGUUUAUCUUUCAUCUUAAAUUUUUCAUAGAUCUUUAAAUUAUUAUGAAUUAUUAAUUAUUAUGAAUUAUAAUGUUUUGAUUUUUACGUAGUUUACAAAUAUAUAUAUUUCAUUUUAAAAAAAUUGAAGAUAUCAUACGCAAAUUUAUGGUCAAACUUAAACUAUUUGAUGCUUGAGAAAUAAAAAGUGUCACAUAAAAUGGGACAGACGAAAGAUAACUCUCAAUUAAAUUUAUUUCACUUUUUAGUUUCCAUUUUUAACAUAAUUUUUGAAGCUAGAUUUCUACGAAUUCUAAAGUAGACCCAUUUAAAUUUGACUUUUUGGUUUUAAAUUAGAGAACUUGGCUUCACUUUGCACGAUCAUUAAAAUUAAAUUUUUUUGAUUAAUUUUAUAUUUACUCUGUUGUUUAAUCGUAAUAUUAUUAUUUGUUUAAUAAUAUGAAGAUUGUGAAAAAAAAAAACCUUCACAAAUUUUACAUCUAUUACAAAUUUUACAUCUAUUAAAUGAGGAAGAAUAUAUUUUUUAUCAAAUAAGUUAAAAUAUAUUUGCUAAUAACAAAUUCUUCCAUUGCAUGAAGUUCAUCCUUUAAUAUAUAAUAUAUAUUUCGGUCUACCAUUCUCCUUAAAUGUCUAAGAAAUAUCUCAUAAUGUCAAAUAAGACUGUAAUACUCCCUCUGUCCCUAAUUACUUGUUUACUUUUCCUUUUAUAGUUGUCUCUAAUUACUUGUCCAUUUUGACAAAUGAAGAAAGAAUAUUUUUUUACCUAUUAUACCCUCAAUUAAAUGACUAAUUACUUUGAAAAUUGCAGAACUUUUCAUCUACUUCAUAAUUAAUAUGGGUAAAAUGAUAAACUCACUAUGUCAUUAAUUGAUUUCUUAAUAAAUGUGUAAAUUUAAAAGUGUACAAGUAAUUAGGGACAGAUGGAGUACUAAACAAAUACAACAGCAAAUGAAAUUUAUAUUAAAAAUAUAUUGAAUAAUGAUGUAAUGAUACCUUAAUAGAAUUUCCUAUCCAUUUAAAAAAAAAUUCACCCUUUCAAUUUCGUUAUAUCUUCUUAUUUAGUAGAAGAAUCAUCAUUUUAUUAUAUUCUACUCCACCUUAAUUGUACCAUCAGAGUUUUAAGAAUAAACAUUAAAUUUUAAAUCGAAAUAAUAAAUCAUUGAAAAAUAACAGAAAAAAUAAUAAUAGUAUAUGAAAAUUAAAAUAAGGUGCAACAAAAGCCUUUUCGCGAUAAUUUUUUGAAAUAUAUUGACAACAAUUAAAAUGAAGCUGUUAUUUUAUCUUUAAAAUUAAGUUUGAUUGAAUUGAAUUAGUACAAUGAAAAAAAAUAUUAAACUAAUAACUUUUGCAUGUUAUUAAAUGCAUUUUAUUUUUAAUUCAGUAGUAGAUUAAAAGUUCCGAAUUAGGAUAUUAAAAUAAUAUCUUACUCUCUCCUUAAUUAUUAUGGUAUUGCAAACAUUUAUUUUCCUUAAAUCGUGAUUCAUUUACAGUUAUAUCCAAUUAAUUUCUAAUGUAUUGAAUGUGGUUAUGGGAUAUUGAAAUAAUAUCUUCAUUUUUCCUUAAUCAUAAUAAAAUUAUAAUUUAACAUUUAUUUUUCUGAAAUGAUAAUUUUGUUUAAUUCCUAGAACAUAUUGUUUACUAUAUUGAAUAUUGAAUGUAAUUAUAAUAAAACAUAUUGUAUUUAGUAUGACAAAAGANNNNNNNNNNNNNNNNNNNNNNNNNNNNNNNNNNNNNNNNNNNNNNNNNNNNNNNNNNNNNNNNNNNNNNNNNNNNNNNNNNNNNNNNNNNNNNNNNNNNNNNNNNNNNNNNNNNNNNNNNNNNNNNNNNNNNNNNNNNNNNNNNNNNNNNNNNNNNNNNNNNNNNNNNNNNNNNNNNNNNNNNNNNNNNNNNNNNNNNNNNNNNNNNNNNNNNNNNNNNNNNNNNNNNNNNNNNNNNNNNNNNNNNNNNNNNNNNNNNNNNNNNNNNNNNNNNNNNNNNNNNNNNNNNNNNNNNNNNNNNNNNNNNNNNNNNNNNNNNNNNNNNNNNNNNNNNNNNNNNNNNNNNNNNNNNNNNNNNNNNNNNNNNNNNNNNNNNNNNNNNNNNNNNNNNNNNNNNNNNNNNNNNNNNNNNNNNNNNNNNNNNNNNNNNNNNNNNNNNNNNNNNNNNNNNNNNNNNNNNNNNNNNNNNNNNNNNNNNNNNNNNNNNNNNNNNNNNNNNNNNNNNNNNNNNNNNNNNNNNNNNNNNNNNNNNNNNNNNNNNNNNNNNNNNNNNNNNNNNNNNNNNNNNNNNNNNNNNNNNNNNNNNNNNNNNNNNNNNNNNNNNNNNNNNNNNNNNNNNNNNNNNNNNNNNNNNNNNNNNNNNNNNNNNNNNNNNNNNNNNNNNNNNNNNNNNNNNNNNNNNNNNNNNNNNNNNNNNNNNNNNNNNNNNNNNNNNNNNNNNNNNNNNNNNNNNNNNNNNNNNNNNNNNNNNNNNNNNNNNNNNNNNNNNNNNNNNNNNNNNNNNNNNNNNNNNNNNNNNNNNNNNNNNNNNNNNNNNNNNNNNNNNNNNNNNNNNNNNNNNNNNNNNNNNNNNNNNNNNNNNNNNNNNNNNNNNNNNNNNNNNNNNNNNNNNNNNNNNNNNNNNNNNNNNNNNNNNNNNNNNNNNNNNNNNNNNNNNNNNNNNNNNNNNNNNNNNNNNNNNNNNNNNNNNNNNNNNNNNNNNNNNNNNNNNNNNNNNNNNNNNNNNNNNNNNNNNNNNNNNNNNNNNNNNNNNNNNNNNNNNNNNNNNNNNNNNNNNNNNNNNNNNNNNNNNNNNNNNNNNNNNNNNNNNNNNNNNNNNNNNNNNNNNNNNNNNNNNNNNNNNNNNNNNNNNNNNNNNNNNNNNNNNNNNNNNNNNNNNNNNNNNNNNNNNNNNNNNNNNNNNNNNNNNNNNNNNNNNNNNNNNNNNNNNNNNNNNNNNNNNNNNNNNNNNNNNNNNNNNNNNNNNNNNNNNNNNNNNNNNNNNNNNNNNNNNNNNNNNNNNNNNNNNNNNNNNNNNNNNNNNNNNNNNNNNNNNNNNNNNNNNNNNNNNNNNNNNNNNNNNNNNNNNNNNNNNNNNNNNNNNNNNNNNNNNNNNNNNNNNNNNNNNNNNNNNNNNNNNNNNNNNNNNNNNNNNNNNNNNNNNNNNNNNNNNNNNNNNNNNNNNNNNNNNNNNNNNNNNNNNNNNNNNNNNNNNNNNNNNNNNNNNNNNNNNNNNNNNNNNNNNNNNNNNNNNNNNNNNNNNNNNNNNNNNNNNNNNNNNNNNNNNNNNNNNNNNNNNNNNNNNNNNNNNNNNNNNNNNNNNNNNNNNNNNAGAGAUGCCACAUCAAAUUGUCAAUAUUCAGCUUUAUAUAUACAUAUAUAGGUUCAUGUCCUUAGAUGUUAUUUUAUUACUUUAGCUGGCAUCGACAUUUUUGUAAAUCUUAUAUCUACUUUGGAACAUUUUAUAAUGUGGCACAGACUGACUAUUAAGAUCAUAAAUUUAAAAAUAAUAAAAUUUAAUUUAUUAUAAUACUAAUAUCAAUAUCAUNNNNNNNNNNNNNNNNNNNNNNNNNNNNNNNNNNNNNNNNNNNNNNNNNNNNNNNNNNNNNNNNNNNNNNNNNNNNNNNNNNNNNNNNNNNNNNNNNNNNNNNNNNNNNNNNNNNNNNNNNNNNNNNNNNNNNNNNNNNNNNNNNNNNNNNNNNNNNNNNNNNNNNNNNNNNNNNNNNNNNNNNNNNNNNNNNNNNNNNNNNNNNNNNNNNNNNNNNNNNNNNNNNNNNNNNNNNNNNNNNNNNNNNNNNNNNNNNNNNNNNNNNNNNNNNNNNNNNNNNNNNNNNNNNNNNNNNNNNNNNNNNNNNNNNNNNNNNNNNNNNNNNNNNNNNNNNNNNNNNNNNNNNNNNNNNNNNNNNNNNNNNNNNNNNNNNNNNNNNNNNNNNNNNNNNNNNNNNNNNNNNNNNNNNNNNNNNNNNNNNNNNNNNNNNNNNNNNNNNNNNNNNNNNNNNNNNNNNNNNNNNNNNNNNNNNNNNNNNNNNNNNNNNNNNNNNNNNNNNNNNNNNNNNNNNNNNNNNNNNNNNNNNNNNNNNNNNNNNNNNNNNNNNNNNNNNNNNNNNNNNNNNNNNNNNNNNNNNNNNNNNNNNNNNNNNNNNNNNNNNNNNNNNNNNNNNNNNNNNNNNNNNNNNNNNNNNNNNNNNNNNNNNNNNNNNNNNNNNNNNNNNNNNNNNNNNNNNNNNNNNNNNNNNNNUUAUUAUUUGGACCUUCUUAACAUCUUUAGAAAAAACCCUACACUUUUCUACUAAAUUACAUAUUAUGCCUUCUAUCAUUGAGUAUAGUGGGGUCCAUUUAAUUUUACAACUGACAUGUAUACAAUGAUAACUUUAUUGAGUUUCUAUAUAUUUCCAUUUUUAUUCUCUACAUAUUAAAUUGUUUAAAUUUAAUAUAGUUAAAUAAUUUAAUAAAAUUUUAUUAUUUAGCUUUUAUAUUCAAAACAAAUUAUUUUUUAAUAUUAUAUAUAUCAUUAAAUAACUAUAUAAGAUUAUUAAUAGUCAUAUUUAUAUUUUUAAAGUAUAAUUAAUAAAAUUAUUUUUUUAAAUAAACUCCUAAUAAAUAAUUUAUUAAUAUGACUAUUAAUAAUCUUAUACUUUAAAAAUAUAAAUAUGACUAUUAAUAAUCUUAUAUAGUUAUUUAAUNNNNNNNNNNNNNNNNNNNNNNNNNNNNNNNNNNNNNNNNNNNNNNNNNNNNNNNNNNNNNNNNNNNNNNNNNUAUAUAUAUAUAUAUAUUUGUUUUGAAUAUAAAUGGUAAAUAAUAAAAGUUUAUUAAAUUAUUUAACUAUAUUAAAUUUAAACAAUUUAAUAUGUAGAGAAUAAAAAUGGAAAUAUAUAGGAACUGAAUAAAGUUAUCAUUGUAAAAUUAAAUGGACCCCACUAUACUCAAUGAUAGAAGGCAUAAUAUGUAAUUUAGUAGAAAAGUGUAGGGUUUUUUCUAAAGAUGUUAAGAAGGUCCAAAUAAUAAAGCUGAUAGUACAAUUUUUUCUAUGCAAUACUUAUCACUUUGAGAAGUUGGAAUGACAAAAAUAUCCCCACUUGCCAAUUGAAUGACCAAUAAGGAGCCUUUGAAACUCUCUCUUCUAAUAUAUAUAUAUUUUAUAUUAUAUUGAUCAUAGACUUAUAUGAAGUUUGAGUUAGUUUGACUAUUUUAUUUACUUAAUCUACAAAUAAAUAAAAAAUGCAUCUAGUCAAAUUUACAAUAAAAAAACAUAAUUAUAUGCUUAUCUGUAUUUGUGACUAUUAUUGACAAUAUAGAUUUCUAAAAUCUCUUCCCUUUUGAUCAUUCAAAUCAUAUAUAUAUUAGCGUUUGAACAAAAAUAACUUUGGUUCUAUUUCUCAAUUAUAAACUUUUAUAAAAAAUUUGGCAUGAAUUUUUCUAAGUUCAUUUCUCCAAUGAAUUAUUUUGAAAGACUGUCAGAAGAGUGCAUAUUUGAAAUUAUUUUAAAUCAACUCCAGCGGAUGCAAUAAGAUCAACAAUUUUAUCAAAAGGAUUCAAACUUGCUGCAUAAUCAGAUGAAAUUUGGGGGAAGAUUUUUUUUCCUUUGAUCAUCAAGGAACAAUUGAUAGAUAUGAGUUUCCUUUUUAUUUGCAACACCAAAAAAGACUUAUUUUUUUGUGUUGCAAACAAAAGGAAACUCAGAUCUAUCAAUUCUUUCUUGAUAAUCAAAGGGCAGAAAUCUUGGAAUUUAAUAUUAGAUAAUUUGGGUUGGGAUUAAGUGUUGCCCAUUUAAUAUGGGUGGACAAUGGUAUUUAAUAUAGUUAAUUAUGAAGAGGUCUGUAUGUGUAUCGCAUCUGCUGAAGUUAAUUUUAAAAUAAUUUGAAAUAUGCAGCCUUUCAAAAUAAUUCAGUGGAGCAAACAAAAGGAAACUCGGAUCUAUCAAUUAAUUCUUGAUAAUAAAAGGGCAAAAAUCUUCCCUAAAUCAGCUAUUAGGUCCACCACUAACCCUCCGCGUUCUUGAUCUUUCUCAUAAUCAGCUAUUAGAUCCACCACUAACCCAAAAAGAUCGACAUGAUUUUUUUAUAACACGUUUUUUGGCCUUUGUGAUUCUCCUAUUUUCCUUGAUGGAGGCAAACUCGUAAAAUUCAAUUUUGUUUUCGGUUAAUCGGAUUAUAAAUACAAUACGAUACAUUUUUGAUACUGUUAUUGAAGAGUUUAUUUUCUCUGAGUUUUUUUCUUAGUAAGGGUGGGAAGAAGUGUUGGUGUAUUAUACCACAAAUACAAAAUAUUACAGUUGAAAAUAAAAUGACAAAAUUGAAUAAACAAAUCUUUAGGCUGAGGCGCGGCUAUCUUGCUCUCUUUAAAGAGAUUCAAGCCCAUUGCGGUAUAGUCUAUACUGAUCCAGCAAUAACACUCUUGACUUGUCCCCUCGAGGUUACAACAACCCAACAACGUCGUAUAACUCAAACAACUCCGGAUUAGAUGAAGAGUCCAAAGCUCCACAAAAAGAACAUCUUCCUUCAACAUAUAUAUAUAAAUACUCUCUUUUGUAUAUAGUGAAUAUAGUUCAAGACUUAGAACGUUUUCUUUUUCUCAAUUCUCUCUUUCACUACGACACAUUAAAAUAUUAUUUCACACUUCUCAUCUUUCUUGAGAUAUUUCACAAAGGAAGAAACACCACUAUUUAUAGGUGAAAAAGUCUUCCAUAUAAUCAAUAGGUAGAAUGAGGGGUAGUAAUAUUUUGGUAGAUAAAUGUGAUAAAUGUUACAUGAGUUACAAGAAACUAAUGGUCAUAUGAGUUACAAGAACUAAUGACAAUAUUAGUUACAAGAAUGUCUUCUACCACAAUUUAUAUCCACUAACUUAUGCACUUAAUAUUUUAUUUUAAUAUUAAAAUGCAUAUACACCAACAAGAAGUGUUUUAUGAUAUCACCAAGAGAACUUAUAGUUUGGGGGAAUGAUCAUACACACUUUUGGCAAUGGAAGGAACACCCUUAUUCCAGGUUUAUCUCUUUUAGUUUUCUUAAUUUGGUCUAAAACUUCAUCGCUCUUUCUUGUAAAUGUUUUAUGAAAUGCACUCAUUCUUUCUCUCUUUUUGCCUAUAUUUCAAAGACUAUCUAGUUAUUUAUUUGGUUAUUAUAAAGAUUCUAUUUUCAAUUGUAUUGAUUAAAGAAAUUCAUUUUAAUAAGAAUAUAUAUAUUAUGUACACCGAGAGUAUAACAAUAACCUGCAUUAUUAUAUUAAGUUAACCUAUCACAAUAUGUAAUUUUUCAUAUCAAUUCUGAUAUGGUAACCUAUAAAAUAAAUUAAGAACCUACUUUAACAAGUUAAAUUACUGUAGAGUUGUUAUAGAUUGAGUAGGAGAGCCCAACCAAAAAUACUAGUCUAUUAAAUGGGAGAGCCCAACCAAAAAAGACUAGUGUAUUAGGUGGGAGAGACUACUGAAGCCUAUCGCCCCAUAGUAUUUUUUUUUAUCUAAUUAAUGAAAGAAAAUUGGCACACAAUUAUUUUCCUAGCUUAGUAAUGCCCUCUUGGACAAACGAAAGACUACAAAAUGGGAUGAAGAGAGAAGAUUACGGCCAAGAAAAUCAAAAGAAUCAACAUCAAAGAAUCUAGCGAUCCAAAAAAGAGGCAAACCAAGGUUUAACUAACUGACAAAGGGACAGGUUCUACAACUACCGAAUGAAAGGACACUACACUAAAUAUUGUUGUUACAAGAAAUCUAAAGGUAACAUAGCCACUUCUUCUCGAUACAAGAAAGGCUAUGGACAAGAAGGUUAGGAUUAAGAGACCUCUUACACAGUUGAAGAAAGAAAGCAAUUAAUAGGAGAGCUCGUCACCUCUCACUCUGACUGUAACACCCCAAAAAGUUUGUAAGCUAAACUAGGGCUAAACGCGAGGGUUAACGUCAAGGAAAAAGGGGCAAGGGUAUAUCAUACAUUGAACUAGAUGAAGGAAAACAUUGAGGUUACCUUGACCCACUUGGUGAUGGGAAGUACCAUCGCCAAAGUGACUUGGCAAUUAGCCAAGUGAGCCACCAUCACCUAUUGAGCAGCCCUCCUUGGCCUAGCUACUGGAAUAUUGGGCGAGGUAGGUCGGGGCUCGCCAACCCUGUUGGCGCAUCGCCCAAAGGCCCUGCCCAUCGCCUAGUAAGCUGCCUCCAAGUUGAGCAUUCCGGAAAUUUGGGCGAGCCAAGGGACCACUUGGCGAGCUAAAGCGGGCAGGUUGGCAACUUUUAAAUGGGAAUCUUAGGGGUCUUCGGUUAUUUUCCCUAAAUUGAAACUACAUUGUUUUACUCUUUCCCUAGUAAAGUAUAUAAGCUUUUUAGACUCAAAAUUCCCCAAAUUAAGUCAUUCUCCCAAGAAUCCAAAAGAAAACAUCCGAAGUUCAUCUUCUACACAAAAUUUCUCUCUCUAGAACUCAAGGAAGAAGAAGUGUAAAAUUGGAGCUAGGGCUUGAAGAGACAAGGGAUUUUUCACUCAAUUUCUUUGGAGAAUCAUAACUAAGGUAUGGUGAUACGCUCAAAUUACACUUCCCUAAAGAAGUAUAAACGAUCGUUAUCAAGUAAAGAACCCAACUUGGAGGUUGGGGUCGAUCCCACGAGGAAUAUGGUUUAGACUUAAACUUAACUUACGAUUAUAUUCGUUUAGUCAACGUAUUUCCGAGACAAGUAAGUAAGGGUGGGGGGAUUUGUGAAACAAAUUCUUGAAAUUAUGUGAAUAAUUAGUGAGCAAGAUUCAAACUCUAGUUGUUAUCAAGAUGAGAGAGAAACUAGGGUGUACGUGUUCCCCAUAAACUCAUNNNNNNNNNNNNNNNNNNNNNNNNNNNNNNNNNNNNNNNNNNNNNNNNNNNNNNNNNNNNNNNNNNNNNNNNNNNNNNNNNNNNNNNNNNNNNNNNNNNNNNNNNNNNNNNNNNNNNNNNNNNNNNNNNNNNNNNNNNNNNNNNNNNNNNNNNNNNNNNNNNNNNNNNNNNNNNNNNNNNNNNNNNNNNNNNNNNNNNNNNNNNNNNNNNNNNNNNNNNNNNNNUUUUAUUUUGCCACUUACUUAACUUCAAAACUUGAGAUACAACCCUUGAACACUUAAAAUAUGAUAUACCACAUCAUUUUUUAAUUUAUUACUCACCCUCCUUGUCUUUCCACGAAGAUACGAGUUAAUUUAGACGUUUUGGAAAGUCGGGGUGUUACAGUUUGCAACUGCUAAAAAGACUUUUAAACUAAAGAAUUAUCAAUGCAUGCAAUAGCACUAUUCAAGAAUUACUUAGUUACUAUUCAUACUUUGUUAAUCGCUCAUGGUUCCCACAACCCUAGUUGUGGAUUUAGUUACCCAUAGUAGUAAGAACACAAUUCAUAUUUGUAGAAGGGGAUUUCAUGAACUUACGUAAUGAGAAGAAGAAAUCCAAAAGCCCAACUUGAAUUGCGAAGUUAAAAUUUUCAAAAUGAACUUAGGAAAUCAAGAAUUGCAAGUUAAUCUCCAAAGCCAAAAACUAGAACUAAAGUAAUAGUGUCUAACCCCCAAAAACGAGGUUUACAUUCCCUAUUUAUAGAAAAACAUGUCCUAAUUAAAAAGGAAAUGAAAUAAGGAAAUAAAGUGUCUAGACGCGGUUGUCAUUGACGAGACAGACCUACGGACCAUGGUCUGACCUACGGUCCAUAGGUCCCUUCCGUGGUUUGGGACUUGGGCAAAUUUUCAGAAGCUUGGAACUCCAACUCUCAGUAACGAAUGACGGCUCAACAACACGGACCGUUACUCGAUCCAUGGUCCGUUGAUCCCCCUCUGUGGUCUCAUACUUAGUUUGAUAAAAAUUAGUUACUCGAACACCUUCUUUGAUUCAGUUGACGGACGUGCAGGAUGGCCCGUAGGUCGAACUACGGUCCGUUGAUCAUGGUCAUGGUUCAACACUAUUUAAGAAUUCCUUGAUAAUUUCUUCAAGCCCUUACCAUCAAUCUACGCCCUUCACCUACAGAACGUGACUGGAUCUACGGUCCGUAGGUGGCAAUUUCUGCAAUAUUUCUUCAGUUGUCUCCUAACCUCCACGUUCGAACUUAUUUCCUACAAACCAGAUCAAAACACAUUAAUACCAAUACAAAAUGGAUCUAGACACACACAACUCUUAAGCGAAAUGUAUUAAAAAUACCGUAAAUUCACAGUAUAUCAUCACCCUCAACUUAAACUCGUUGUUUGUCCUCAAGCGAUGCACUAAGACUCUAAAUGACACUUGUGUAUAAGCAUACAUUCAAGCUCAAGCAAUCACAUGGCUUUCUGUCCGAACUCUCUUUUUAAGUGCAAAUCGUUUCUCCUAGACUCAACAAGCUAACUCAUGCGGAUCAAAAUAUGACAAAAAUCGACCAAUAGAUACACAACAUACACUUUUUUCACAAUCACAAAGGUACCAAGUUUCCGUACUUCAAACGAAAUCCUUUUUUCACACAAGGAAUAUGAUUUUGAGUACAAGGAUUCAUUCAACACUCACACUCAGAAGUAACUUCAAGCACAGUUCGUGUUCAAUACCAUAGACUUGCCCUUAUUUUUACUGCUUAGACUCUCCAAACUAGUUUCUAGGAUCACUAUAAGACUUUCUUAGAUUGUAACGUAGUCUCAGGGUCAGGUGUGGUACAUUUGGGUACUUUUUAGUGACUUUCUGCCCUCCUUGACAUUACAUUGGCUUUUUACCUCUUCCUUGACCUACUCUGGGCAACUUUUCAUCCCUUUUUCUUUCCCUUGUCUUUUCAACCAAGGAUGCGACUUUUGACUUUGUGACACUUGUUUAUAUACAUUUUUUUCACUUUAUUUUUCUUUAUUUCUUGUCACGCUUUCACUUAUCACAUUCUUUUGCCUUUUCGCACAAAGUCACAUCCUCUUUCUUUCUUUUUCUCUUUUCAACACAAAACUCUUUUCAUACCCUUUUUUCCUUAGGUUUCCUCUUUCAUAGCCACCCUCAACUUUUGCAUUGUGCCUUAGUUGAGGUGCAUAAUGUCCGAUGUCGGACUAGGGCCAAGAUCAAAGUCACUUUUGACUUAGCCACCCUCAACUUAGGGUUUUGGCCUAAGUCAAGGUGCACAUGUCCAAGGAGGGACCGGGGCCAAGAUAACAUUUUAAGGGAAUGUGAGUUAGGUGAAUCAAAAGAAAUGGUCAAUUUUAGGCUCAAAUAUUUGGAUCAAAAGGGAACAAUGCUACCAUUUGGCUAGAUCAUUUUAGGCUUAAGUGGACUAAUUUGAACAAUGGCCUAUGAUCACUUCCCAACUUCUAGCCUAGAUUAUCCUAGCAGGACCAACGGGGUAAGUUCUAGAUUGGCACAAAACUGUCUGAACAUUCAACUAUCCUUACAAACUCUUGGCACCUUGUUUCAUUAUCAGAUUAUAAGAUUACCCAAUUAAAGUUUUUAGCUUAAGUCAUGGUAUCACAUCGGCUAUUAUCAUGUCAUAUUCAGAGCCAACACAUUCAACUCAUUCUAGCCUACAAAUUUUAGCACAUAUUGUUCUUUUGGAUGUGUAUCAUUUUCUUGUUUUAUGCUCACGCCAUCAUGCUUUAUUCUUUCUCAUGAUCCUACACAUACAAUCCUAACACAUGCCGGUUCAACAGAAAGAAAAACAAUCUCUUGGAGGAAAAGAACACACACAAGAAAACCCCAAAAGAGGACUAUGAGUUGGGUUACUCAGACUUCACCCUCUCACUCAUAAUCCAUUUACCCCACCCCCAAUGAAAUAAAGUGCUAUUGUCCUCAAAGCACACAAAAAUAAGUAAUAAAGAGUAGGGUGAAAGUGAAGCAAACCUGUGGCCCAAAUGCACCAAAGAACUCAACAAGCGAGUGGAUCCGGUUUCCUGAAGCCCGUUGGAUCAACAUGGGUAACGCCAUCAGUAACGCUCCCAUCUAUCAUCUCAGCACCAUCAGUGGUGCUCACAUCAUCUCUCACAACAACAACAACCUCAAUAGUCUCGAAGCUUCAAGAGCACCCUCAUGAACCCUCUAUUGGCGCAACUCUUCGUCUACAAUAGAUGCUCUCCUAUCAUACGUAGUAUGCUGGUGCUCCCUCUUCUUUUCCCUCGCAUCCUCAGUGGCAUCAGAAGUGUGGCUGAAAUGGUGCCUCUUCCCUUGGGCACGACUGGACUCGGACUGCGGUAUGUCCUCGCUAGAACGAGCAUGUAACACCGUAUCAUCAACCGGUGCUAUAGGUACGGACUCUGGCGCAUCCAUGGAUGGGGCUAGGAUGGCAUCAAGAUCGGCCCAAAAAUGAUCCAACUCAGUCCGAAAAGAGAAAAUAUCUGUGAUGGGGGCUAGUCGCUCGAGGACUCUCAGAUCAAAGGCAUCCAGGCGCUUAUUAACAGCCUGGACCUUCAGGUUCAUCAUGUGCUCCAUCCUCCUCUCCAUCCUGGCCUCAAACUCUGAGAUAGACCGUUGCAUCCAAGGCUUCACAUGAUGAAGCAGUGUGGCCAUCUGAGCCUCUAAUUUCUGAACUCGAGCCAAGGGCACAACAACAGCUCCUAAAGAUGGGGUGGAUUUGGAUGAGCUAGGGUCCUGACUGGCGGCCUGAGAUGGGGAGGCUGGGGCAUCAUCAAUGUGGGCUAGAGGGGCAGGGUCCUCACCCUGCAUCUGAUCCACAUAAGCUACUAAAUCUGCUCCUAAUGGAGGCACCUCAAUCUGUGGACCACGUCGUGGGGCAGCUACGUUGGCCACAUCCCAAAUAAGGCCGAUGUCAAGGGUUCCGAUCGCUUGUAACAAUUUGUCACAAUGCCAGAUAGGCACCCCAGAAUCCCUGCACAACUAGACGAUCAUACACGGGAAGGGUAAAGUAGUGGUAGACCUGAACGCCCUCUCAUGGUUCUCUGCCAACACCAUGCGGGCAAAGUCGAUCUCGAACCCAGCUACCAAAGCCGCAACCAUCACCGCUCUAUCCCAAGUAAGCGCAUGAUCGGCCUUAGUGGGCGAUACCCUGUUCCUUACCAAAAGCCAGAAGAACUUGUCUACCAAAUUUAGGGUGGCCUUCCGAAUACCCAAGCGCGGUGUGCUGACCCACUCCGCGCACUCUUCGUCCACAGCUAUGUACCUGGCCAACCAAAGUAAUACGACUUCCCUCUACUCUGCAUUCCACUGGAAUGCUCCACUUCUCACAAUGUCCCACUGGUAGUCAAAUUCUACGGUGUUGAGUGCCCAAGUGGUGCUUGGACCAUAGAGGAAUUGGUUGAUAGUGAUCUGCGAUAUGUCCAUCGAAAAACCCUGAACUAGAGUGGAUCUGAGAGGGGCCUAGGCUGUGGGCUUGGACCGUUUGUCGAUAGAACCACAGAGUGUGGCAGCAUAGGAGGCAUAGAACUCCCUCACUAUCUCCUCGCUAUAAGUCCCUGGGCUCUGAGCCAUCCACUCGCAUUUGUGUUGCUAAAAGAGCCGAUGUAUGACGGGUAUGGUGUGUAGGCUCCCCGUGAGAACUCUGCGCUCUUCUGUGAUAAGCCGGGCCGUUGAUGAGUCCACAAAUUAGACUCAUUCAGGGAUAUAUUUUAAUAGAAAUUGUGUCCUCGAAUUCUUAUUUUAUCUCAAUAUCUGAUGAAAACCCUUAAGUUUUAGGUAUUUGAAGUUUUAAGGAAAGCAUGGACACUACGUUGCAAAAGAACAAAAAGGCUGAAAAGAACAAAGAAAUGAAGACUUGAGGAUCGCCGAGUCCACUUGGUGAGUCGCCGAAGGGUCUUACUUCACCUUUUGUUCCAGUGUGCUGAUCCUUGACGAAAAGGAUCAAGUCGGCAGAAACAAGGAGCAGUUGGCGCAUCGCCGAGCAGUUCCGCGAAGCAGUUCCGCGAAGCAGUACCAUGCCACCUAAUGAACCAGAGCAUGAAGAUGCUGAAGGCUGGUGCAAGAUGGCGAAGAACUACACCAAAGGGCGAAUCACUGAGUUGAUCGGCGAUUCCGACUAAUGAUACCGAACGAUCCGCUGCAGUACAAAUUUGUGAUAACUAUAAAUACUAGUCAGAGUUUUAGUUUUAGUAUGGACAAAUUUUUACUCGUUAAUGUCUUUAGCUACGACUAGUUAGAACUGAAUUUAAUUUUUCUAUAAAUUCUCAAAACAACUCUCUUGGGACGAUCCCAACUCUUGGUUGGGUUACUAAACUAUUGUACGAUCGUAGACACUUGCAUCAGAAGUUGUGUCUUGAUUACGCAAACAUCAAAAUGGAGCCGCUGCCGAGGAGUGGUGUUAUUUUAUAACUUUUAGAUUAGUAGGAAUUUUGUUCUUCUUAGUUGUAGUCUACCUACCUAAUUUUUAGUUUUGUUUUGUUUGCUGUGUGAAUAUUUCAGAAAGCAUGAGUGUUAAUGGUAGCAACGGUAGCCAGGUAGGCCACCAAGACGACAUCGGAAAUCUCAACGAUGUCCAAGAGCCCAAUAUCAAUGGCCCCCAUCUCAUGGGAGGUGUAGGAGCCAUCCGUUUACCCCAGCCGAGGGAAAUACAGUGUUUCACAUAGCGAGCACCAUGUUGCAACUCUUGCAACUGAAGGGACUUUUCAGCGGACUGGCUCAUGAAGAUCCUCACAAGCAUCUUCGAAAUUUUGUAGAUGUGUGCGGACCAUUCUCGUUCAAAAUCAUCUCUCAGGAGUUGGUUCGGUUGAGGCUAUUCCCUUUCUCGUUGAUGGGACAGGCAUGCAAGUGGAUAGCCGAGAUACCGCGUGAAUCCAUCGAUCACUUCUUGGGAGGAUUUGGUAGCCGCAUUUCAAGUGCAAUUUUUCCCUCCUUCGAAGAUGAUGUUACUGAGGGAUAGCAUCCAUAGCUUUAAACGUCUAGAAGGAGGGCCUCUGCACGAAACUUGGCUAAGGUUCAAAAAGUUGGUGCUGCAUUGCCCAACACACGAUUUGCCGAACAACGUGCUACUUCAAUACUUUUACCGGAGUUUAGAUUCGGUAAACAAAGGUGUCGCUGACCAACUCUCGCCUGUAGGAUUAAUGCAACAACCAUAUGUAGUAGCAGCCUAACUUUUAGAUGGCAUGGCAACCAUGAAUAGAGCGUGGUACACUCGCGAGGAUCAAGUCUCCCCUCUCACCUUCAAUCUAUCCAAGGAGCAGAUUGAAAAAGACAAUGAAAGAGACCAGAACAUGGACAAAAUCAUGACGCAGCUGUAUAUUUUAUCCAAAAAUGUCAUGGGGAAUGGUGCCCGUGGUGUCAACGUUGUGGGCGUCGGGUGUGCUAAUCUUGAGGAGAUGAAGUUUGAAGUCUUGUAUAACGAGGAUGUAAAUUUUCUAGCUAACCAAGGCGGUGGCUACCGCUCAAAUUACCCAAGGCAGGGUGGUAACCCAGGCUGGAAGGAUAGAGAUCGUGAAUGAAGGGACUGAAAUCCAAACUGGAAAGAUGGGGAGAAGGAUAGAUAUGUGCCUCCGCAUGAGCGCCAGAAGCCCAAGGAUACGGAAGGUGGUAGGUCUGAGGAUAUGCUCUCACAUAUCCUCAACAAAGUUGAAGGGUCAGAUAAAAUGUUGAAAGGAAUGAAAGAAGAUGUUUCUACACUUAGCCAGACCGUCACCUCCUAUUCUGUUUCAAUCAAGCAGUUGGAGACCCAGAUGGGUCAUAUCUCGUCUCACCUAAAUCUAAGACAGCAAGGGGGUUUGCCUAGUGAUACUAUGGCUAAUCCCAAGAGCGAGGUUUGAAGGUGAACUUGCGUCGUGCCACGACAUUAACUAAGGCGUUGUUUGGGAGGCAACCCAAAACCAUUUAUUACUUUAUUUUUCCUUUGAUAAAAUAAUAGUGUGUUGAUUGUGCAGAUGGAAUUAUGUAGAGUGAACGAACAGAGCAGGUUAGCAAGCAAUAGGACUAGUCCACGAGAUGCCGAUUGGUUCGACGACUCUGACCUAGACUGCCGGUAGGCCCAAAAAAUAUUCAUGAUGUGGUCUGUACAACUCGGCGAGAUCAAGAAGAUAUUGGCGAGCCGCCAACCAUAUCGGUGAUUGCGAUGAAGAUCGCCCUAUGGACCCUCAUGCUGUUUAAAGGUCCUGGAAAACUCGGCUAAUCAAGUUGUCACUCUGCGACUCACCGAGAGGGUUGGCGAUCGGAACUAAUAUGGCCGAAUAGAUGAAAACUGGACGGUCUCUCAGCCAAAGGUUUAAAAAAUUUCAUCUUCAUUUCCUUCCCUCACUUUUUCACCUUCCCAAACUCACACCUGCACUAUAGUUUUAUAUUACUUGCAUUUUUGGAGUAUUUUGGUUGAUUGAUUUGUGCUUGGAGUCGGAGUUCAUUGCUUCCCAGCAUCCCAAUAGCACAAAAGGUUAGUGUCCCGAACCCCAUAACUAUCUUGUCAAAAUCGUACUCAUUUGCAAAUAUUGUAAUCUUGUUGAAAUCUGUUGAACCUCCCCGAUUGGGUUUAAUUAUUUAUAUGUCGAUUUUUCUUCGAUAACCCUGCCUUUAUUGGCUAAACUAUGAAAUCUCAUUCUCCAAUGCAUCGAGUGGAGUUAAUGUGUCAUGACUGGUAUUCGUAUGUUAUGGGUCCUGGUCAAAUUUGUGCUUUUUGUGCUUAAAUUGCAUUUUUGGGGGUUGCGUGGCUGAUUUUGAGAAGUAGGGUAAAAAAUAGGCACGUUGGGUCAUUCGGCGAGCUCGCCAAACUAUUCCGCGAUUCACCUAAUUACCCUAUCUCACUCUUAUUAUCAUGCUUUAUUUGUUGUGGCAUCUGUAACUUUCGGUGAGAAGUAUGAAGUUGCCAAGAGCACUCGGUGACUCACCGAAAAUCAUCUUAUUCGCCCUUUGUCUGAAACCCUAACUCUUUCUGCACUGUGACCUUCGGUGGAUUGUCCGUGGCUCGCCGAAUGUAUUCGAUGGCAUGUCGAAUGGACUAUCUAGUCUUUCUGCAGCUGAAUGCCUGUAUUUUGGUUGUCAAAUAUGUUCUAACAUUAUCUCAAGACUUUGCAGACAUGGCCAGACCAAAAGUUGCAGGAAGAAGCAUGCCACCCAGACACAUAAGAGCACGAAAGUUCAGAAGAACUACAAGGAGCGUGAACAAGAAAGCCAAUUCGAGGAGGAGGAUGCCCAUCGACCCUAUUGUCCAUUCGUGGGCUCGAGGGUUUAGCAAUGCAAAACAUACCUUUGUGGCAGCUCACGAGUUGGACAAUAUGAUCGAGGCUAGUAUCGCUGCAGAAGCUGAAGCAGAGCAAAAAAAAAGAAGAGAACCAGAAGCAGAAUGACAACACUCCGGGUACUGAUGCCUAGACAGAUGGAGCGAAUGCUUAGACAUGAUCCCUUCUUCACCUCCCUCUCUGUCUUUCUUUAAUUGUCAUUUUGGAUACUUUUAUUUGCAUUUGAGGACAAAUGUUUUUAUUUGUGGUGGGGUCAGGCCCACACCUUUUUGUGUUGAUAGUCGUGUUUUGUUUAUAUUUGGGCUAUUUUGUUCAAAAUUGCAUUUAUACUGCAUUUUUGUGGAUGUUUGAGCUUAUGGCUCCCUUUUAUUUUACAUUGCAAAAUGAUUUUGACCCGUCCGAAAUUUUUUGCCACGUCUCAUGUAUUGAAUGUGGCUGUUCUUUUGUGAGAUUCAAUUCUCGGUUCCGAUUAAUACCGAUGACUUGAAUAGUUCUUACAAUCGAACGAACAUGAAUGUGUGGCUACAAUGAGGACAAAUGAAGUUGCAUAGACAAUAUGUGAACUCUUUGCAUCUCGUUGUGAUUAGUCAUUUAUCAAAUCGAUUCUCUUGUGAUGAUCAUUGCACACUAGCGAAAGUGUGGAGUCUUGUUUGACUAUAGUGUCAAUGCCUAGUGUUAUGAGCUUACUUUGAACCAUGCGUGAUAGAUCCUAGAAUUUUCCCCAUUGGUCUAGUCAACUAAGUUAUGCUAUAUCUUGAUAUGAUCUUAGGCAACUUCUAAGAGUGUGAGCCAAUUUGACAUAUACCUCUUUUAUGACCUACCUUGUGAGCGUGUGAUUCUCUUUUAAACACCCCUUGAGCCUUACCUUUCUUUGAAAGAAACUUGAUGAAAUCAUAACCUUUCAUUAUCCACUACCUAUAAUCCUCUUAAAUUGUGGUUAAUUGAUUAGCCAACGUGGGCCAAAAGCCUAAGUUGGGGGUAUUGUGAAAAGAUAAGGGCAAGUCAAGAACUGCAAGGAAAGUCUCCUUCGACCCAUGGUGUUAACAAAAAUGGAACCCUUCCAUAUAAAAAAAAAGAGAAAGAGAAAAACAGAAAAGAAUGAAAAAGAAAGUUGCAGAAUAAAGUGCAAAAGAAAGGGGGUUUCCAACACACUAUGGGAAAGUGAAUAAUAGGAAGACUUAUGAACACUAAAUAAAAUGAUGAAGGAAAAGGUAAGGAAGUGUUGUGAGCACCACAUUUCAUGAGGAUGAAAGUCACUAAGCCUAAAUGACCAAACCUUUGCACUCAGCCCCAUUACAAGCCUUGAAAAAAUCUUUUUGAUUUUGAGUAAGCUGAAGCAAAUGUUGAUUGGAAAAUAUGGGUAAACCUAUGGGUGAAAGCAUGCAUUGUGUUCAUCUUUGUGAGUGUGAGCGUUGCAUCUAAUUCCUAAGCUUUAAACUGCGAACCAUUGUAUGAAUAUGGAAUCAUUCUUUGUGUGAGGGCAUUUUGAACACCUCGGUUGAGCUUGAACUUGCAUUUGAAGCAAGUAUUGUGAGCAUGAGGUUCUUUGAUAUUUGUUGAGUCACAACUUGAAUCUUUGAGUGCACAUUUGAUCUUUGCAUAAGUAAAUUGAGUCUUGUUGUGUGCAUUCAUGAUUGAGUCUUGUGUAGCACUGUUCGGGACACCCUUUUUGAACGACUGAACUUGAGUUUGCUUGAGAACAAGCAAAAGUUUAAGUUGUGGGUGUUGAUGAGUCCACAAAUUGGACUCAUUCAGAGCUAUAUUUUAAUAGAAAUUGUGUCCUCAAUUUCUUAUUUUAUCUCAAUAUCUGAUGAAAACCCUUAUGUUUCUGGUAUUUGAUGUUUGAAAGAAAGCAUGGACACUACAUCGCAAAAAGGAGCAAAAAACCUGAAAAGAACGAAGAAAUGAAGGCCUGAGGAUUAUCGAGUCCACUUGGCAAGUCCCCGAAGGGUCUUAGUUCGCCUCUUGUUCCAGUGUGCUAAGCCCUGAAGAAAAUGAUCAAGUUGGCGGAAAAAGGUAGCAGUUGGCGCAUCGCCGAGAAGUUCUGCGAAAUAGUACCAUGUUUCCCAAUGACCCAGAGGACGAAGAUGUUGAAGGAUGGUGCAAGACGGCGAUGAACUAUACCACAAGGCGAUUCACCGAGUUGAUCGGCGAUUCUGACUAACGACGCCGAACGAUCCGCUGCAGCACAAAUCUGUGAAAACUAUAAAUACUAGUUAGAGUUUUAGUUUUAGUAUGGAACAAUUAAUAUAAUUUUAAGAUAGAACAAUACUUUUUGAUAUUUUUGCUCUAAGUUUGAGAGGGUUUUGAAGAAUUGAAGAAGAAGGGGGUUUCAUCUCCAAGGAUUUGGACUUGGGUCUCUUGGAUUCUUUAUUCUUGGCCUGUAACAAGACUUAAAUCUUCAAACCCAUUUGAAUAUAAGCUCAUUUAGGUAUAAAUUUAUAUCUCUUGAUGUGUGGCUAUAAACCCCAAUUCUUGAGGUGUGAUUUAGCGAAUAUGAGUUAAGAUAAUUAUUGGGUCUUGUUUACUGAUAGUUUAUUCGUAGUUUAAAUGUGAUUUCGUUUAGUGGUUGUGGAUGAAUUUAAUUAUUUUAUAGUUGCAAAUACAAGUUUAUUUAUGUGUUUUCGGCUUGCUCGAGAGAGAGGUCGUAAAACUAAAACCAAUAAAUUGAUGGCCGGUGUGCGUGGGUCGACAUGAGGUUCAGCUCGAGAGAGUGAACCCUAGUCCCAUGUCCACACACUCAGCUCGAGAGAUUGAGUGGGUUAAGGCGUAGGUUGGUCUUCAUGCGGCAAGUGGGUGUCCGAGAGGAACGCAUUUGAAACGGGGUAAGUUGCUCGACAGAGAACUUAUCCCCCUUAAAGUUUAGCCUAGUCACAUUAUUCUAUUAAUCUUCUAUCGAAAGCAUGUACCCAACAAUCUAGCCUAACCUGUAUUCCCGUCACAUCCCAAGUAUCCCCUCUCAUUGCUUAGAAAUUCUUGUUUAUUUUGCUGUUUUUACUUACUAGUGACAAAAACCCCCAUUGUUAAUUGAAAAUUUUGUGUCCCCCUUUAAUUUACAAUGUUUUUACUCGUUAAUGUCUUUAGCUACGACUAGUUAGAACUAAAUUUUAUUUUUCUAUAAAUUCUCAAAACCACUAUCUUGGGACGAUCCCCAACCUUGGUUGGGUUACUAAACUAUUGUAUGAUUGUAGACACUUGCAUCGGAAGUUGUGUCUUGAAUACGCAAACAUCAAAUUUGCUGUUUUUACUUACUAGUGACAAAAACCCCCAUUGUUAAUUGAAAAUUUUGUGUCCCCCUUUAAUUUACAAUGUUUUUACUCGUUAAUGUCUUUAGCUACGACUAGUUAGAACUAAAUUUUAUUUUUCUAUAAAUUCUCAAAACCACUAUCUUGGGACGAUCCCCAACCUUGGUUGGGUUACUAAACUAUUGUAUGAUUGUAGACACUUGCAUCAAAAGUUGUGUCUUUAUUAUGCAAACAUCAGUAAGGCUUGUAGUUAAAUAUUGUUGGGUAAAUCAAGCAUGUUUGAUGUUUGGCUUGUUUAAAUUUGAAUUUCGGGUCUGAAAUUGUUUCAUUGGCGAUUAUGCAUGUUGGGUUUGGUAUGGGUGAAGUGUAGGUAACCCGAAUUGGACUAAACAGCUUAAUUUACCCAAUGAUGGAUCUGGUGACAUCGUUCUUAAGGCAGAAGAUGUUGAUUGGUCGAUUCUAGACAAUUUGGGGGAAGUCUGACUAUCCCAGGGUUGGUAAUGAUAUGGGCUUGGUGUUAAUUGCAUAGAAUAUGGAUUUUAUUUCGUUAUCGUUGACUAUUUGUGGAAAAUUGGGGGUCGGGGUUAAAAUCUAGCAUGAGGGACCUGAUGGCGAGCAAAGUCGAGCUCGCCGAAUUAGUCGACGGUUCGCCAACUGACCCCUUACCUUGCCCUUUUACCCUGAAAUAUUGCUGUUGCAUUCUGUAACAUUUGGUGAUACAUCUGUGCUCGCCGAGUUAACUCAGCGACUCGCCGAGUUAACUUAACGACUCGCCGAAUGUCCUUGUGAUCGCCCUUCUGCAACCAAUAUUGUUGGAGUUCAUUCCGUGAUAUUCGGCGAACUAACCCUUCGCAACUGCAUUUGUUCUACUUGUGUUAUAUUGCAGAUAUGGCUAGACCCAAGGUACCUUGAAUAAAUCAACAACCUCAGAAGAAAGAAAAAGGAGUGGUCAUUGUUAUAGAGGUUACACCUUAAAGAGCAACACAUCCUAGACUGCCUUCAACAGGGGGUAAAGGGCACAGACAAAGGGAAACGACCUGCAUAGCCGAGUUCGAGAAGCUCUAGCUCCGAUAGUAUGUGUAUCGAUUCUACCCACCUCACCACUUUUGAGUCUGACUUUGAGGAAAAUUCAGGGUAUAGAUAACUGGUCUACGAGUCCGAGCCUCCAGAUGAUCAAUUCCUCAAAAGGAGAAGGGCUGAAUUGCGCUCCAAAGCGCUACAUGAUCCGGCGAGACACCCAGUUCAUCCGAUUUCUCCUCUACCUCCAGCACAGGUAGUUGAGGAGGCACCACAAGUGCCCCCAGUACAGGAACCUCCGCCACGUUCAAUGAACAUAUUAAAGGCUGCCAGGUUGAGAACGAUUCUAGAAGAGAAGAUGUUAUUUAAUGAUGGGGUAGUGGACAUGUAUCUUGCUGUGUGGGACACAAUUCAUUUCCACAAAUUCCAGAGGUUUACAUAGCUCCGGGGCCCUUCUUAUCCUCUAGGUUCUAGGAGUUCUAUUAGGAGCACGGGAAAUUGAUCCAGAAAGGCAAGAAGAAGGCCAGUUCGUUUGGACCAGUUGAUCAUGUAGUGGUGUGAAGUAAAAAGGUGAAGUGCAGCAGUAUGGAGAUUAAUGAGGUGUUGGGAUGCACAAUCCAGAUAAUCAAUAUCUUGGCAAACAGGAUUCAGAAGAAAACCUUCAACAAUCUUAAGGGGUUGUUGGCCCCCUUGAUUUCUGAUAUAACACCUCUAUGGAUUGAGCUUGAUGUCCAAAUUGAGAAGAAGGACCUAAAUGUCGCUGCUAGAUACUGGAUUGGGUUCAUUAGCACCACGCUCCUGCCAUCACAAAAUGAGUCCAUCCUUCGGCACACGAAGGCACCCUUGUUGGGAUCAAUUAUUCACCUGGAUAGACUAAAUCUUUGAUUGAUUAAUUAUUAGGAGAUAGUCAUGAGCCAAGUUGAGCCAGACCUUGCUACCAUUCCCAGUGCUGAUUACAGAGUUGUGCUGACGAGCUAGAGUUCCCUUUAUGGCAAAGAAGGAUGUGGAAGUGGCUCCCACUUCCUCUACUGACAUUCGGAGGAUCGAGGCCUAGUACACUAGAAAUGAGGCUGAGCGGAAGAGGACAGCGCUGGUGGACACAUCCCCGAUUGUUGAUGUAGAUACGUUGGAGGCAGACACUACUCCUUCCACUCAGGCUGGUGAGCCUUCAGGUACACAUAACCCAUCUGCUCGUACUACCUCUUCUGCUACUGCUCCCCGAGCCCUGUUGACAUGGGCCAUUUUGUAUAACAUAGUCUAUCUAGCCCAGUCAGCUGAUCUGCGUGCUUCCUGAGUUGAGGUACCUAUACCAAGAUUGAUUGAGCGGACCAUUGUUGUUGACCUUGCCCCCAUCCGAGCUGAGUUACGAGAGCAACAAGAGUUGAUUACUACUCAUGGCCUAGCAUUGGACACCCUCACUGUGCGAUUUGAGGCGUGUGAGUAGGGUGGGUGACAUUCAGAGGAUGUGACAACUUUGAAGGCUGAUGUUGCAGAGUUGAGGCGUGAUAUGGAUGAGCUCAAAUCCAAUGAUUUAUCUAUGUUCUUCGGCACUAUGGACCUUCUCAAGGUUCCAAGUUCAGAUAUAACAUAUACUUCUGAGAUUCCUCCGGCUAUUCUGACCGGAAACACUGUUGUAGCUACUGACGAUGAUGAGUCGGAUACUCUUGAGAUGGAUGAGGAGGAGCUUAGGACCUGUGAUGCUGCAUUUUAUGAUGAGCUUGAGGAAUUGGAGGGUGCAAUGGUACAUAUUGCAACGAAGGCUUCAGUUCAGGACACCUCAAUGAUUGGUUCCAGUGGAGCGCAACCUACUCCUGGAGGAGAGUCGAGCACUGAUGUCCCGAUUGAGAGAGCUCCAGAUGCACAAUGUUCACCUAAAGCUUAGCCUGAGAGGGGGAUUUGACUCUCUUCCUAUUUUAUUUUUGAGACAUUUACUUUAUUUUACAUUGAGGACACUAUUUAGUUUUGUUAGGGGGCCUAUCCCCUUGGUUUGUAUUUAUUCUAUUUUGGAUGAUCGUUUCGGUACUGUACACUUUGUCCAAAACUUUCCCACGUAUGUUGGCGAAAUUGAAUGUUGGUUUUAGAUACCAUUUAUCAAUUCCGUGAUUUCUCAAUGUAUGAAUUUUAUGGCUGUUCGCUUGCAUAUUUGAGUAUUAGUUGCGAUAAAUACCUAUGUCUUGAAUAAUACACUUGAUUGAACGAUAUGUUUGUGCAAGUCCAAUGAGGCAAAUUUGAGUUUGAUAAGUCAUGUGUGGACUCUUAGCACUUCGUUCACUACACCAUUUUAGGCCUACGGCCACACUAAUUCUGGACAACGCUUGUAAAGUAUUGCCUAAAAUAAUUUUGGGGACGCUUUCAAAGCGUAGCCCAAGUUUUUAACUUUUAGCUACACUUUAUAUUAGCAACACUAGAAAAGUGUACUCUUUAAUGCUAUAAGGUACACUUUAUAAGUUUUGUUACAAUAUGAUAUAAUUGACAACAACUACUAACAUAUAUGGCCACACUUUUAAAGUGUCCUAUUUUUAUAUUUGUAAAUACAAAACAUUACAAGUGUGACCUUAAAAUUUUCACUAAAAUAUUAUAUUCCCUCCAACAUUUUUAAAUCUCCCUCCCAUUUUUAUUGGCCAAAACUAAUAAAUCAUAAAACAUUAAUUUUAAUAAUACAUAAAACAUUUGUGAGAAAAAUACGCUAUUCUCUUUCUUGGAAGAACUGAGCUGAAGAGUUGAAGUCGUCGAAGAAUUGAAUAGCUGAAGUCGUCUUCUCCGAUACCGAUUCUCUUCUCCGAUAACAAUUUCGUCAAGCGUAAGUACGAUUUUCUUUUCCAAUACCGAUUUCAUCAAGCAUAAGUACUAAAAACAGUUUUCUUGUUAUUGAUUGGUUUUUUGUUUUGUGUUUAGAAGAGGAGAAUAAGAAGGAAUUGAUUACUUUGGGGUUGUUGGCAAGAUGAACUGAAGCUAAGUCUUUCCGUCACGCUUUUCUCUCAAAUUUCGCAUUGAAGAACACGAUUUCAGAUAGAGCUCAAGAGCUGAAGAGCUUCUUGCUGAUGGAUACAAUUUACAUCAUAGUUCUCGUUGAAAACAUGAUUUUGUUGGAAUAGAGUUUAUCAAGUAAGAAAUUCUAUCUUUGAAAGUCUUAAUUUUAGUUUUAGGGUUUUGAUAUUCUUGUGUUUUUUAUACAUUUUUUGGGAGUGUAGCUCGUAUCUUAGCUUCAUCGGUUUAUUCUUUGCCCUGAGCAUUAAUCACUAAAUAAGUAUAAGUGGGCUGAUUCUUCACUUGAGAAUUUAUUUUUUAUUAGGCUUAUAAGCUGAUUAGGGCUGAAAUCGUCCAUGAUAGUUUAGAAGUUUGAGUUCAUGUAAUCAAUUUUGAACUCUUAUAGUGAAUAUGCCUUGAGUUCAAACAAGUAGCUAACCAAUAGUUUAGAAGUUUGAUUCUUCACUUCAUCUAAUCGAUUUAGAAAAUUGAAGUUUGCUCAUACUUAUAUGCUUUGUUCCAGUAUCUAAGGUGUACAACAAAAAAGGUACUGGAAUUACUCAAUACAACCUAGUACUUAUUUGGAUAUCUAUUUUAUGGUUUGAAGGUUGAACAUGGAUUCUUGAAUCUAAACUGCUCUCUCACGAUAGAUGUUGGAUAUGAUACCCAUUUCCUUUAUCAAGUCAGUGGCAUAGUGAUGGUCACCAUAUCAUCAGUUAUCCAGAUAGUAAUUGAGCAAUGCAUUAUUGUGAAUUGAUAUUCUAUAAACACUGAGAAGAAGGAUCAUGUAGCUGGCUGGAAUGCCUUGGUCUAUUCUGUUUUACAUGACUAAAAAAGUGCAGGUCUAAAUGCCUUGGUCUAGAUUGUUUUACAUGACUCAAGAAAAAAUCUAGGUUUUGUUCUUAUCUAAACUUGUAAAAUUCACCAGUAACUACAUUUGAAGCCCAAGAAAUUUGGUCCAGUUUGUGUAAAAAGCUGUUUUCAAAUGGAUAACCAUGCAAUAUUUGAAAAUCAUGUCUCUAUGUUGAUUUUUUCAAGUCACCUUUGUUGACUUCUUGUUCUAUGGAUAUGGCAAUACUUGGUUCCCAUUGAUGUGGUAUUUAGUGGACUUUGUCCUUGAAAAACUAGUACUGAUAAGGAAUCAUUGCUCCAGAAGCCUGUUGGCUUUACUGGUGGUGCUAGCCAUGUUCUUUCUGAACACUAGGGGGUACUGCCUGGUGUAAUGAAAAAUCAAUGCUCAAGAAACACAUGAUGAAAUAUUAUUGAAUUUCAUAAAAUACUUUGACUGAUUGUCUACUUAUAUGAACUUGAGUUUUUCAUGAUAUAGUUUUUGGUGUUGAAUUAGAUUCAAGUAUAAUUUUGGUGUUGAAUUAGAUUCAAAAUACUUUUAUGUUUUGGUGUUUUGAUGUGCUUACUCGACCACACGGGUUAAAACAUAAGAAGAUAUAUCCUCAUCUUUUAAGCUUCAGAAAUAUAAAUGUUAUUGAAUGUGUAAGAGAACUAGAAGGGCACAGUAGAACAUAUAGGAUGUACCUAAAAGAAAAACACGCUAAGAAAUCCUUCAUAAAUCAAAGUUAAAACUUAACCAGAAACACCACAAAACCAGUAGAUUGAAAGAUGAAGCCUUCUUCCCUUCAAUGAACAACAAAAACACUACACUAAGUAGUUAUAACAAAAGGUACAUCCCACUAGUAAGGAACAUGGGAUAGCACAAUUUGUUCUGUGAUCACCAGACAUAUGCUUGUCAUUGUGUUUCUGCACUUCAAUAGCCAGCAAAAACAUACCAGCCUUUUAGCAUUUCUUCCUUCUUUUUUUCCCAAUCAGCAAUCAAAACCUACCAUGUAUUCUCCAUUUCUCAUAUGCUUACCCGCCAAGGGAUUUACAAAACUAGUUAAAUCAAGACUACCCUUUUAUUUGGCUGUUUGUUAUUUACAUACUUAUUUGUUUCCUUUUAUUAUCAAGAAGUAGGCAUUAGAGGCAGAACAACGAGCUCUGCAGUUUGAAGUCACUCCUGGUUUUGUCGCUGUCCUGAUUUCAUUGCUCUGAGAGAGGUACAACUCUUUACCUUUAAUUUUUCCUUGUUUGGUUCAGACCAAGAGUGUUAUGCGUUGUUGUGACUGAAAUAGUGAGCUGCUAGUUUGUAUCCGCUUUUUAGUUGAUAUGAUUUGAUAUCUUUUCUCAAAGUUAGCUGAGUCUCCUUUUAGUUUGUUCAAGAUGCUCUGUAGUUCACUCAGUCAUGAUUUUUAGUGUGCCUGUUCUGGGUUCUGGGUUCUCGAAAUGGGGCUGUAAAAUCUAGUUAUUUACCUUCUCUCCAAGAGUGGCUCAGUUCUCUUUUGAGCAUCUUUUAACUUAGUCAUUGUAUAUCUCUGUCUGAUUGCUCUCAAAUGCUAUCUGAUGCUAUGAGGCUUCAAGUUCUAAUGUUCAAUUUGAUCAAAAAUAGUCUGUCUAGGUCCUGAUUUUGUUUGAAUUUAUAUUAAUACAGUUUGUAUGGACUACAUAUUGUAAGCAAGUGAGAUAAUAUACUCAGAAACUAUUUUGUCGCAUUAAAGUAACUGAACUUUACACACUAUAUACGUUACUUUUUAAAAGUUAGUUUUUGACUUACCCUCUAGAGUACAACUGAUCACCAAUAAUUAGAAAAUUCAUGACAACAACUUAUAUUGUUUGCACAGGCUGCCACUUCUCAUCUAAAAUGGUUGUACAUGUUAUAGAAUCAGUUUAGUUGUGGCUCCAACUUCCCUGCUCGGAUAUUGUGUCUGUACAGGUUAUAGAAUUAGUUUACAGUAUAUACAGUGCUGGAAGUUCUGGAAAUUCUAGAAAUUCUAAAAACUCAGUUGCUGCAAUCUGCUAUUAUAUAGUGCUGGAAAUUCUAGAAACUCACCUGCUGCAAUAUUAUACAGUGCUGGAAAUUUUGGAAAUUAUUGAAACUCGCUGCUGCAAUCUGCUAUUAUCAAUUACUCUUUUAUAGCUGCUGCAAUCUGCUAUAAUACAGUGCUGGAAAUUCUGGAAAGAGUUGAGCUUUUCUAUAACUUCUAAAGAGUUGUAAAUUCUGGAAAGAGUUGGUGUGUGAGUUCUGCAGAUGCACAGGACAUAGGAAGGACAAUGUUUCAAACUAAUAAGCUAUCCACCUGACUUCAAGUCUAAGAAAAAAACUUAUAGUGAGGCAUCUGGGUGGGUUGCAUAUGCUGUGAUAGAUGUGCAAACAUAUGUAGGUACUGAAAUGCAAGCUCAAGGAAUCUUCACAUAUGGCUUGGACACUAAUGUACCACCAUCUACUAGGAGUCAUUAGAAUGGAUCCAGGAGUACUAAUGACUAUGCUAAACAGUUGCUAUAAAUAAAUAUAUGUAGUAAAGUUCUAGUAUCAGUCUGUUUUAACAUCUUUUUACUUCAUCAAUAGAAUUCCAAGCAGUGUUGCCUAUAGUCAUCUGUCAACCUUAUAUCAAAAUUAUAUUGCUGCUACUUCUUUCAGUUAAAGAACCUUCUUAUUUUGUAGGUUUACUUACUACAGGGAAAGAAAUCAAAGAGAUUAAAACAAAGCGAGAAGAAUGAAUCAAUCAGCAAUACUAAAGAAAAAGGGUUCGAAUCCAAACAAAGAUCAAAGUCCAUUGAAGAAUCUGGAUUUUUGUAUGCAAUACCGAUCAAGUGUUGAAUUGGCCAACAAAUUCAAGAUUAAGAGAGAACAACUUGCAAAUGAACGCAAUGAUAGAGCUAAGAAAGAGUAGGCACCAAUACCACAUAAAAGAAAGAAUUCUGAGGAUUUCAUUCCACAACAAGGAAAUAGUAAAUUGCUUGGGCACAAUGAUUGCUUUUUUUCUUGAGACAGGUUGAACGUCAUCCACAUAUCCUUAUAAACUAUUUGGUCUUUGGUUUUGUUAGCUUGUUCUUCCUUUUCGUAACCUGCUCAUGAUCAGGUUCAUCAAAUGACCUUGCAUUUUUUAAAUUCUCAGUCCGCCUCUGAGGCAUUAUAGUUUUAGCUGUUUAUAAAAUAAAUAACAUUGCAUUUGGUUUCUCUUCUGUUAUAAGAUAGUGGUAUCUAUCUGCUGCCACCAUUCAAGCACUAUUUUCCCUAUUCUUAGUCUUCUUGAGUUCAUCAUUGUUGUGCUCGCCUUAAGCUUGGUUUAUUUAUUUGUGUGGUACUGUUUCAUUUAUUUAUGGUGAGAUAUUGCCUAGUAUCACUUACAUUGAUAUAAUAAGCCUCAAAUGAGUUUGUAUUAUCUAUUUCAGGCUGUGAUCUGCGUAAGUGUUUGUUCUCUAGUUACUAAUGAAUCUACCUCUUUCUUUACUGCUUGUGACCUCUGUGAGCUUCAUUUUUAUUUUAGUUUUGAUAGAAUGAAAUUUGACAUGAAAUUUUGCAUUUUAAUGUGGAUCAGUAACCUAUGUUGCCUUAAGAAGGCACUGCUUUCAAGAUGGAUUAGCCUUGCAAGUGAUUCAGUAGCCAAUAGUACAUUUACUUGAUGUUAUACGAGUUGAGUGCAUUAAAGAACUUGAGGUUCCAAGAUAACAUGAAGCUAUAAUCAUUGCAAGAAGUAGAGUUUCUUCAGUAAAUCUUUGAAAAAGACUUCUUUUUUUAUUUUUCUUCUAGUUGAGCUGGUGUUCUUGGUAAUGAAAUUCUGAACUUUUUUUACUAUCUUGAAUCUUUGAAAGUUCAGUCUGUACUUUUUUUUUGUCAUUCAAUGUCUCCUUUCAUCUUCUAUACCUAGAAAAGUUUAUAUUUUUAGUUGUAUGAGUGUAGUAUUGGUUUGAAGGAGGACUCUAGUGAUUUUGGGUUGUAGUUGUGUACUUUUUUCCCCUGUUGUUUUACUGCUUUGAACUGUGAUGGUUGUUGUGAGAGAUGGUUUUGGUUUUCAUUGCUUAAACUGAUUCUCUUAGUUAAAGCUGUCCCUUUUAGAUUUCUUGGAAGGUUAAAGACUUUGUUAUAUUUUUGUGAGUGAGUUUGUUGUCACUUGUGCUAGUUAAGCUUUUUUCUGGUGUUGGAAUAAAGCUAUUUAGAUUUUAUGAUGCUUGUGCUUUGUUAUGUUUCUGCAAUGGGGCAGCUUCCUUCCCAGGAUAUUUUGGCCCUACUUGAUUAUAUAUAGAUACAACUGGUUAUGUACUGUAGUCAUGAAAUGCGGAAUGGGUUAUACGGGUUAUACCAUAGAGGGUCGGGGCAUUGGGUUUAUGCAAACUGUAAAGUGUAGCCUACAUCUACAGAUAUACAAUCAUCAUGUCUAACUUGUUUAUAAAAUACUCCAACAUAUUAUUUCAUUAGAUAAAUAGUAAUUUACUACAAAUAGGCCGUGAAGCCAGAUGCCUGUUCUAUAUGAUUUGCAUCUAUUGAUUUGGAUUGGUUGGCUUACAGUGAAUACUCUCCAAUUAUGCACUUCCACAACUUUAUUGUUAUGAAUUGGUUUGGCUUACUGUGAAUUUAAGCAUAUUAAAUACAUGAUUUAUUUCCCUAACUUAUGAUUUUAUUUUGAAUGUGUAGAAAAAUGCCGGUAAUUGAAUUUGAAUUGUGGCCAGAAGUAAACUCGAUAUAGUGUAGUGAACGAUGAAGAGUUUUUGUACUAUUGUCAGAUAUGUUUGUAUGCAUUUGGUUUUGUGCAAUUUAUUGAUAGUAGAGGUCUUUAAGCAAUCACUUUCUAAGUAUUGGUUGUACAAGACAUGUUUCUCAAAGUUUAUUUGAAAUAUAUAGCUUCGAUUUAAUUAUUAGUUAAUUUUCUGCUUUAGGUCACUUGUAUAUUUAAUUAUGUGAUUACUGAAUAUAUGCAAAUAAAAAUUAUUAUUCUUAAAAAUAAAAAAUUGUGCCUACAAAAUUCUACACAACAUUGCCACACUUCAAAAAUGUUGUUGUAGGAUGUCCAAUGUUAUCUUGUACAUAAGAAAAGUUACACUUUAUAAGUGUUGUUCUAGAUGAGAUAUAAAAGGCAACACUUUUUAAGUGUGACCAAUAACAAAGCAAAAGCAACGCUUUUAAAUGUAGUAUAAUAAAAAGAAGGUGUUGCUAAUGAAUCACUACAAAGCGUGCCCAUAUACCUCUUUGGCCACACUUUAUAACUGUAGCUGUGAUGGCGACAUUUAAAAAGUGUUGCCUAAUGUCAAAGGUCACGCUUCUUUAGGCCACCUCCUAAAAAGCGUUGCUUAAAGUCCAAAAGUGUAGCCUUUUAUCAAAGGCCACACUUUUUGCUAGUUUAGGCUACACUUUACUGGGGUGGCCGUAGGCCUAAAAUGUUGUAGUGGUUGUGACUAGUCGACUGUUGAAGUGAGUCUUGUGAUGAUCGUUGCACGCGAGCUCAAUUUGUAGAGUCGUGAUAGACGAUUGUGUUGAAUGCCUUGUGUGGUGAGAUUUUCUUGAAAUAUGCGCUUGGUAAUACCUAGAACUUGCCCCGUUGGUCCAAUUGACUAACAUUGACAAAUGAGAGAAAUGAUCUUAGGCACAACUUUUUGAGAGUGAACCAAAUUGCUAUUAUACCUCUUGUGACCACCUUGUGAAAUGAUCUUCGGCACUAUUUGAGCCUACCCUUUCUUUGAAUGGAACAUGUACACAUUUAACAUCUUUCAUCCCCACCUAAAACCUUUAGGAAGCUUUGGUUCAUUUAAGUAUCUAACUUAGUGAAAUUUCACCCUUGAGAAAAUGUGUUGAAAAAGAGUAAAAAAAGAAGAGAUGGAACCCUUCUUUAGUAAAAAAAAAGAGAAAAGCAAAAGAAUAAAUUGUAAAAGAAAUGCAUAUUGGAAAUAAAAGAGGUGUCCAAUGAGCCAUACAAUCUUUGUGCUUGAAAGCACUUAGGGUGGAUUGUGAAAAUCUAAAGAGUGGAAGAAAAGGAGAAGAACUGGAAUGCAAGUCAUGCUUCAUGAAGGUAGUUGUCACACCCCGAGCCUAAACCCUGGACACGAGUGGCACUCGAAAAUCAUUUCUGGCCCCAUGAGAACCCCUAGCAUGACUCAAUUCUCAGAGGAAAACUUACUCAACAAUAAAUGAACUCAAAUUAAAAUUUUACACAAUGUCUUUAAAAUAAUUAACUCAUAAUGUAUUAUAACAUUCACUGGCCCAAAGAAGGCAACUCAAGUCUUAAACAAUAACAAUAGAAAUGAAAAGACUCUUGAACUACUACUGUCUAUAUAUAAAACCUAUAAAUGAAAAGGGUAGAAGUCGGGACAAGACCCACGACAUCCUAACAAAAACUAAAAAGUAAAUGGAAUCCUCCGAAAGCAAGGAGGCUCACAAAAUCUAACUCCAACUGUUGUUGUAUCAACGAAGCGCCUGUUGAUGCCCCUGAUCUCCUGUAUUUGCAUCAUGAAAUAAUGCAGAGCAAAUGACAUUAGUAUAUUGAAUGUACGAGCAUGUAAGGGAAAACACUGAACAUAACACAAGAGCCUGAACUUGGAAAGAAUGAAACAAUACUCACCUCAUCUCCACUCAACUCAACCUCAACUCAAUACAGUAUAAAGAAAAAUAAAGAUGUAGUUUAUUGAGUUUAAAACAGUAGAUAACAACUCCAUGUAUUUAAAAAUACAAUAAUAACUCUUAUUUGGGAGAUUCUCUAACAAACAACAAUCACUUUGAUCUAUGUGAUGAUACAACAUCUCUCCCACGCUUCCAAAACUGUUCUAUACCUUGCUGAAGUAUAAUAUAUCCUAAACUAACUGGAUCCACUAAGCUAUGCUUAAAAGGAAAUAAGGAUUCAUCUAAAAAGUAUGACCCUUUCUACCCACGAUGGCUACAUGGUUAAUGAGGACUUUGAGUUGUUCAUACUCGUCCCCAUAUCGGUGCUCAAUAUUACUCCCAAUAAUAUAACUCAGCUCAUAUGUUUAAAAACAUUAUGUUAUCCUCAAACAUUAAGAUUAUUACUCAAAAGGUUUCUCUUAAAAGAGAUAGUACUCAAAACUCUUCCUGAACUUAUUUAGAAAUCGAUAUUUCCUCUCAUUUUAAAUGUAAAAACAUUUACUCUUGGGAAUACUUUCCCCAUAGAUUCUUUUUGAAUAAUGAAAUUCAACUGUCCUCAUUCUCAUACUCAAGUACUCAAGUCUUGAAACAAGUUUUAAAAGUUUUGCAAAAAGACUUCUCAAUGGACUCAAAGAAGUUCCUCGACUUUACUCUUAACUCUAUCUUAAAUUUGAAUUAUGAAUUAUGAAUUCAAGAGUUAUGACCUAGAUAAGCAUGAUCUCACAAGAGUUAAUGAAGAUUUCAAGUGUGGAUAUCUAGUAGAAAACAUAGGUACGAUUCGAGGGAACGAACAUGGAAAUAAGGACAGAAGGGUAGGGGAUCCUGGCGCACUGAGUGGCAUGGGGAGCCAGCCCGUAAACUACCGAAAGUGGUUUGGAGCGCACUGAGUGGCGCGACGCCCCACCCCUUGCCAAAUUUUUUGACAAAAUUUCUUGCUUCAAUUUCAUGCCUAACACCCGUAAAAUCGAACGAUUUCUCUCAAAACCUCUUGGAUUCUUAGACCCAACAUAAUUACAAUGAAAUCCACUCUAAAUUAGUCAAGAACAGUACUCAAACCGAAGAUCCUCAUCAUAAGAACUCAACGAAACCUCUUAUCAAGGAAUGAAACAGAAACUUCAAGAAACUCAGCAAAAACUCAUCAAGAUUUCAAUAUUUCCAAUCUUGUGGAUGAAAUUUGCAAAGGAAACUCUUGUUUGGCAUGUGGGUUAACAAACUCAACUCUAUGAAAACUUACAUACCUCGUUAGGAUCGAAUACAUGGCGAAAACCCCUCAAAGAUUGCAAGAAAUCCUUAAGUGCUUGAAUCUUUUCCUUUCUUUCUCCCUUGAACUUCUCUCUAAAACCCUAAGCGUAUUUUAGAAUUGUGAAAACUGACCCAAAUCAGUUUAGACCCCUAAAAUAUUACUAAAAAUGUUUAAAGCUGAUAAGGUAAGGAAAAGACAAAAAUACCCCUCAUUAAUUAUGGUUAUUUCCUUAACUGGACUGGCUAACUUCAAACAAGCAUAUCUCCCUCAUCCAAACUCACAAUUUAGCAAACUCAGUGGCAUUUGAAAGAUGAUUCAAAUAUCUUUUAUUUGAUAUUUUAUGGGACACCUAACUCAUCCAGUACUGAAAGUUAUAGUCAUUUGAAAUUGACCCAAAACUCACAACUUAAGCUUAUCUUGAUCAAAAUAUCAAAUUAGCAUUUUUCAAAUUAAUUCUUUCUAAAUUUAGCUCUUUCUAUGACCGAGGUGUUACAAUAUCUCUCCCUUGGACACAUUUGUCCUCGAAUGAGAUCACUCUAAACAGACUAAGGGAGGCAACAUCUAACACACAACUCAAACACCCAACAUGCAAUUUAUAACACAACAUAGCAUAUCAAUUAAGAGAGUGUUUUACAAAAAUCGUUACCUUGGUCUAAAAUUUCUCCGGCAGAAAAGAGAUGUGGGUAUAUCUUCUUCAUAUCAUCCUCAACCUUCCAAGUUGCUUUCUUAACAAAUUGAUUCCUCCUUAAGACUUUGAUUGAUGCUACCUCCUUGGUUCUCAACUUGCGAACCUAACAAUCGAGUAUUUCAACGGGUACCUCCUCAUAAGAUAGUUUGUCCUUAAUACCAAUAUUUUCAGUAUGUAUAAUAAGUGAAGAAUAUCUCAUACACUUCUUCAACAUACAAAUAUGAAAUACCGGAUGGACUAUUGCUAACUCUGAUAAUAGCGCCAACUGGUAGGCUACCUUCCUACUCCUCUCGGAUAUCCUGUAAGGACAAUAUACCAGGGACUAAGUUUUCUCUCUUACCAAAUAUCAUAACAUCCUUCGUGGGUAACACCUUCAAGUAAACCCAAUCAUCAACCUCAAACUCCAAGUCUCUUCUCCUAACAUCAGUAUAGGAUUUCUAACGACUUUGCAUUGUUUUCAACCUUUCUUGAAUGAUCUUCACCUUCUCCAUAGCUUUAUGAACCAAGUUCAGUCCUAUCAACCUAACUUCACCAAGCUCAAACCAUCCAAUAAAAGAUCUACAUCUUUUCCUAUAAAGAGCCUCAUAUGGAGCCAUAUGGUUUCUAGUGUGAUAAUUGUUGUUGUAAGAAAACUCAAUGAGAGGUAAGUGAUCAUCCCAAUUACCCUUGAAAUCGAUCAGACACCCCCUCAACAAAUCCUCUAAAUUCUAAAUUGUACACACUACUUGACCACCAGUCUGAGGAUGGAAGGUCAUACUCAAAUUUACCUUCAAACCCAAGCCUUUUUGGAAAGACAUCCAGAAUUGCGCGGUGAAUUGCGCACCUUUGUCUGAAAUGAUGGACACCAGAACUCCAUGAAUUCUCACAAUCUUUUGAAUAUAUAAUCUGGCAUAAUCUUCUGUCGAAAAUGUAGUCUUUACCGUCUAUAAAUGGGGUGAUUUAUUCAUCCAAUCUACAAUCAUCUGGAUCGAAUCAUGCUGCCUACGAGACCGCAAUAAGCCAGCAAUAAAAUCCAUAUUGAUCAUCUCCCACUUCCAUUCCAAAAUCUCUAUAUUCUGAGCCAUGCCACCGGGCCUCUGUUGCUAUACCUAGACUUGUUUGCAAUUUGGGCACUUAGCAACAGACUCUGCAAUACACCUCUUUAUACUACUCCACUAAUAGACUUCUCUCAAGUCACGAUACAUAUUUGUGGAUCUCGGAUGGAUAGAGUAUCUCGAGCUAUGAGCUUCAUCCAUGAUCCUCUCUUGAAGUUCAUCCACCUUUGGUACACAUAAUCUACCUUGAUACCUCAAUACACCAUCUCCCCCUUGUUCAAAAGCCAUCACUUUCUGGUUAUGAACAUUUGUCUUCAAUUCAAGAAAAAUAAGGUCUUGUCUUAUUUCUCUUUCACUUCGGACACUAGUGAUGAUUCAUACCCAUUUAUCACCACUACUCCUCCCUCAUUAGAAUCCAUUAACAAAACUCUCAAUCGUGCAAGUCUGUGCAUAUCUCUGGCUAAUUCUUUCUUGCCUUCCUCAACAUGGGAAGUACUGCCCAUAGAUAACAUGUUCAAUGCAUCAACAACAACAUUAGCCUUACUUGGGUGAUAUAGAAUACUCAUGUCAUAAUACUCGAGUAACUCCAACCACCUUCUCUGUUUGAGAUUAAGCUCUUUCUGACUUAAUACAUAUUGAAGACUCUUGUGAUCGGUGAACAUAUAUACAUGAACACCAUAAAGAUAGUACUGCCAUAUUUUUUAUGUGAUGAAUACUACACCAGCCAACUCUAGAUCAUGGGUUGGAUAAUUCUUCUCGUGAAUCUUAAAUUGUUUCGAGGGAUAAGCUAUAACCUUGCCAUUCUGUAUUAAUACACAACCUAGUCCAACUCUUGAUGCAUCAGAAUACACAACAAAGCCUUGUGUACCAUCUGGUAAGGUUAACACUUGGGCAGUAGUCAAUUACGUUUUCAAUUCCAGAAAAUUUUUCUCACAAGCUUCAGACCAUUGAAACUUCACUAUCUUCUAAGUCAACUUUGUCUACGGGGAUGAAAUAUAUGAGAACUCCUUGACAAAACAUCUAUAAUAACCGACCAAUAUCAAGAAACUCAUAAUAUCCGUUGGAGAUGUCAGUCUAGGCCAGUUCUGUACUGCCUCAAUCUUUUUAGUGUCAACUAGAAUCCUAUCACCAGAAAUAAUGUGGCCUAAGAACGCCAUAGACUAAAGCAAAAACUCACACUUGGAAAAUUUGGCAUACAACUCUCUAUAUCUGAGAGUUUGGAGAACUACUCUGAGAUGAAUAGCAUGAUCCUUCUUAUUCCUCGAAUAAAUUAGAAUAUCCUCAAUGAAUACAAAAACAAACAUAUCAAGAUAAGGCUUAAACACUCUAUUCAUAAGGUCCACGAACAAUGCAGGAGCAUUAGUAAAUAAAAAACACAUGACUAGAAACUCAUAAUGACCAUAAUGGUUCCUAAAUGCUGUCUUUGGGAUAUCACUUUCUCUUACUCUCAGCUGAUGAUAGCUAGGUCUAAGGUCUUCCUUAGAAAAACAAGUGGCACCCUGAAGUUGAUGGUAGAGAUGAUCAAUCCUCGGAAGGGGAUACUUAUUCUUGAUAGUAACCUUGUUCAAUUGGCGGUAAUCAAUACACAUCCUAAGUGAACCAUCGUUCUUUCUCACAAAUAAGAUCGGAGAGCCCCAAGGUGAGAUACUAGGUCGAAUAAAACCUUUGUCAAGAAGAUCUUUCAACUACUCUUUUAACUCUUUCAACUCAGCUAGAGCAAUUCUAUAUGGUGGAAUAUAGAUGGGUCGAGUAGCAGGAAAAAUAUCUAUACCGAAGUCUAUUUCUCUCUCAGGACGGACUACGGGAGGAUCAUAUAGAAAGACCUCUACAAACUCACUCACAACUGGAACUGGUUGAAUAUGUGGUUUGGAAACACUAGAGUCAUUAACUCGGACUAAGUGAUAGAUACACCCCUUGGAAACUAACUUUCUAGCCUUAAGGUACGAAAUAAAAUGACCCUUAGGCAAUGUUAAACUACUCCUCCACUCGAUAACUGGCUCAUUAGGAAACUGGAACUUAACUACUCGAGUUCUACAAUCAACUAAGGCAUAACCAACAUGAAGCAUGUCCAUACCUAGAAUAACAUUAAAGUCCACCAUAUCUAACUCAACUAAGUAAGACAUGGUGUCCCUGUGAUUGACAGGAAUGGUACAAUCAUGAUAAGCUCUUCCAGCUAGAAUAGACUCACCAACAAGCGUGGAAACACUGAAGGGCUUAAGAAGUUGUUCGGGAAUAAUAUCGAACCUAAUAGCAAUAUAUGGAGUCACAAAAGAUAGACUCGCACCAUGAUCAAGUAAAGCAUAAACAUCAAAAGUAAAGACUUUGAUCAUAACAGUGACAACAUCUGGUGAAUUCUCUUGAUCUUGACGACUGGUAAUAUCAUACAGACGGUUUGCUCCUCCGCUUGUUCCCGAAGUAGCUCAUCUAUGUACAGCUUUUCUGGCAGAGCCACUAAAGAAGAUUUGGCUCUGUUGCCAUAAUUACUACUACCCUGUAUGGUCUUAGGGCACUCUCUUAUGAAGUGACCAUUUUGAAUACAUUUAAAGCAACCAGUGGAUCCAUCACGACACACUCCUAGGUGGUUCCUACCACACAUAGCACAUGCAGGAGUCCAAUUGCCUCCUUGUGCCACACUACCAUGAGAUUGUGUAGGUCUAGCUCUGAAGUUCUAAGAAUUAUAAUUCUUGAACAAACCUAUGUUCUUUGGUGUAGGUGCACUAGUAGAUGAUGGAGCAGGUCCAUUUCGCUUUUGUUGAACAAAUGGCUGGUUCGCAUUGCUCUUCUGCUGCCCGGACUCAUUUCCUGCUAUCUUAGCCUUCUUUUUCUGCAACACUUCUCUAUCUGUUAGCUUAUCCUCCUCAACCUGCUACACAUGGAUCAUAAGCCUUGUUAUAUCCAUUUCUCUUAUCAACAUAGCUUUCUUUCCCUCCUUACUUGAAAAGUGAAAGAACCCAUAUACAAAUAGACUUAUCGUGCUCCUCAUGUCAACAACCAUCUCCGGAGCAUAGAAGGACAAUGGAGUGAACUUGAGGCUAUACUAAUGCACACUCAUAGAUUCCUUCUUCAAGUUAAGGAAUUCUGUUACCUUUUCCUCUCUAAGAUUAGGGGGAAAGAAAAGCCCAUGAAUGUACUCUCGAACACAACCCAGCUCACAAUUGGUGCACCCUCAACGCUACUCUUCUUCCAAUGGUUGUAUUAGACUCUAGCAACACCUUUUAGUUGGUAUGCAACUAGUUCCACAAACUCAAUAUCUGCAACAUGAAUCACCUCAAAAACUUUCUGCUAUUCUUCUAUAAAUUUUUUCAGAUACUCAGUUACACUUGAACCAAUGAAGACUGGAGGAUUCAUCCUCAAGAAUUCAAAGAUUCUGGAUGUAUUAGCCACAUCCAAUCGAUUCACUCUUUGUUGCCCAGCAUGGUUGGUCACAACUUGACUCAACAUCCGAAUAGCAUCUCGGAAUUCAGCAUUAGUAACCUCUCCUUGGGGUAGCACUUCUGGUGCAUUGGGGACCCCACGAUCCUGGGGAUCAAUAUUUCUCCUAGCAGGAUGACCUCUGACAGCUCUUCGUGGAGGCAUGAUAUGAAAGAUACGCGCAAGCACGAAUUAGAAAGAAACUUGAUUGAGUUUAACUUUAUCAUACAAAAAGAGUAAGAAAGAAAUGAUUUUUUUCUUAAAUGUCGCAGCCUCCUAAUUAUAGAUGUGGCGCGCUUCUCACCGAUAAAUAAGACUCUACAAACAAGGCUGCAUAGACACCUUAGGACUCUUAAACUCUGUGCUCUGAUACCAAGUUUGUCACACCCCGAGCCUACACCCUAGAUGCGACUUGCACUCGAGAACCAUUACUGGCCCUAAGCAAACCCCUAGCCUAGCUCAACUCUAAGCGAAAUACUUACUCAACAAUAAAUGAACUCAAAGAAAAACUUUACUUAAUGUCCUUAAAAAAAUUAACUCAUUAUGUAUUAUAACAUUCACUGGCCCAAAGAAUGCAACUCAAUUCUUAAACAUUAACAAUAGUAAUAAAAAGACUCCUGAACUACUACUCUUUAUCUAUGAAGCCUCUAAAUGACAAGGAUGGAAGUAGGGACAAGACCCACGACAUCCUAAAAAAAUUGAAAAGUAAAUGGAAUCCUCCGGAAGCAAGGAGGCUCACAAAAGCUAACUCCAACUGUUGUGGUAUGAAUGAAGCGCCUGUUGAUGACCCUGAUCUCCUGUAUCUGCAUCAUUUCAUGAUGCAGGACAAAUAGCAUCAAUACAUUGAAUGUACGAGCAUGUAUGGGAAAACACUGAACAUAACAUAAGAUCUUGAACUUGGAAUGAAUUAAACAAUACUCACCUCAUCUCCACUCAACUUAACCUCAACUCCUGGAUACUCAACUCAAUACAGUAUAAAAACAACAAUAAAGAUGCAGUUUCUAUAAAGCAUUUAAAAUAGUAGAUAACAACUCAAUGUAUUUAAACAUACAAUAAUAACUCUUAUUUGGGAGAUUCUCGAAUCAACAGCCAUUACUAUGAGCUAAAUGAUCAUACAACGUCUCGACCGCGCUGCUAGAACUGUCUUAUACCUUUCCGGAAUAUAGGACACCCUCAACUAAGUGGAUCCACUAAGAUUUGCUUAAAAAGCAAUAAGGAAUAAUCUAAAAGGAAUGACCCUUUAUACCCACGUUGUGUACAUAGUUUAUGAGGACUUUGAGUUGUUUUAACUUGUCACAAAAUCGGUGCUCAAUACUACUCCCCAAUAAUAUAACUCAGCUAAUAUGUUUAAAAAACAUUUUAUCAUCCUCAAACUUUGAGAUUAUUAUUCAAAAGGUUUCUCUUAUAUGAGAUAGUACUCAAAACUCCUCAUGACCUCAUUUGGAAAUCAAUGUUUCCUCUCAUUUUAAUUGUAAAAACAUUUACUCUUGGGAAUACUUAGUGCCCAUAUAUUCAUUUUAAAAAAUGAAACUCAACUCUCCUCAUUCUCAUACUCAAGUACUCAAGUCUCAAAACACGUUUUAAAAGGUUUGCAAAAACACUUCUCAAUUGACUCAAUAAACUUCCUCGACUUUACUCUUAACUCUAUCUUGAAUUUGAAUUAUGAAUUAUGAAUUAUGAAUUAUGAAUUCAAGAGUUAUGACUUCGAUAAACAUUAUCUCACAAAAGUUAAUGAACAUUUUAAGUGUGGAUAUCAAGUAGAAAACAUAGGUACAAUUCGAGGAAACGCACACAAAAAGAAGGAUGAAAGGGUAGGGGACCUAGCGACCCUGGCGACCCUAGCGCACUGAGUGGCGCGGGGCGCCAGCCCCUAAACUACAUAAGUAGGUUUGGGGCGCACUGUGUAGCACAUCGCCCCACCCCUUGCCCAGAUUUUUGACAAAAAUUCUUACUUCAAUUUCAUGCCUAACUCCCCUAGAAUCGAACGAUUUCCCUCAUACUCCUUUGGAGUCUUAGACCCAACAUAAUUACAGCAAAAUCCACCCUAAAUUACUCAAGUACAAUACUCAAACACAAGAACCUCAUCACAAAAACUCAAUGAAACCUUAUAUCAGUGAAUGAAACACAAACUUCAGGAAAAUCAUCAAGAACUCGGUAUUCCCAAACUUAUGGAUGAAAUUCACAAACGGAACUCGUGAUUGGCGUGUGGCAGAACGAACCCAACAUGAUGAAAACUUACAUACCUCGUUAGGAUCGAAUACCUCAUGAAAACCCAUUGCAAGAAAUCAUUGAGCACUUGAAUCUUUUCCUUUCUUUCUCCCUUGAACUUUUCUCUAAUACCCCAAGCGUAUUUUAGAAUUAUGAAAAUUGACCCAAAUCAGUUUAGACCCCUAAAAUAUUACUAAAAUUGUUUAAAGCUGAUGGAGUAAGGAAAAGACCAAAAUAUCCCUCAUUAAUUCGGGUAAAUUUCCUUAACUGGACUUGCUGACUCCAAAUGUACAUAUCUCUCUCAUCCAAACAUGAAAUAUAGCAAACUCGGUGGCAUUGGAAAGAGGAUUCAAAGAUUUUCAUUUGAUAUCUUACGGGUCAGCUAACUCAACUCGUACUGAAAGUUAUGGUCAUAUGAUGUUGAUCUAAAAAUCACAACUUAAGCUUAACUUCAACAAAUCUCAAAUUAGCUCUUUCCAAAUUAGUUCUUUCUAAAUUUAGCUCUUUCUAAGACUGAGGUGUUACAUUAGAAGUUACUAAGCCAAAUUAAUCAUACCUUUACCCUCAUCCCAGUGACAAGCCUUGAAAGACCUUGGUGAUUUUUAUUAAGCCGAAUGACAAGUUGAUUGGAAAAUACGGGCUAGCAUAUGGGUAGAAUCAUGCAUGUGUUUAUCUUUGAUAGUAUGAGAUUUGAUUUUGAUUCCUUAAGUCUUAAAUUUUGUUGAACUUUGUGUGGGCAUGGAAUCAUUGUUGAUCUGAGGGCAUUGAAAUACUCUUGUUGAGAUUGAAUUUGCAUUUGCAGCAAGCAUUGUGAGCUUGAAUUCUAUUUAACUUUAGUGCACAAUUAAAUACUUCUUGUGAAGAUUGAACCUCAUAUGCAUUCAUGUUGAGUCUCAAGUAGCACUAUUUGUAGACAUCUCUAUUGAACUGAUUGAUCUUGUGUUUUACUUGAGGACAAACAAAAGUUUAAGUUGGGGGUGUUGAUAAGUUGGGUAUUUCGACUCAUUUAGUGCUUAAUAUUCAGGGAUUUAGUGUCCUCAAUGCCUAUGUUAUGUUCAUACCUGAUUAAAAUGUUAAUAUGCAGCAAUGAAGGAAAAAGAGCAAGGCAAGGACAUUAUGAGGCUAAAAGGAGCGUAAAAGCUGAAAAAGUUGAAGUAAAGGAAAAUUGGUACUCGCCAAAGCAACUCGACACGCCGAGUGGACCUUCAGCUUGCCUAAAAUUCCAUCAGGCUAUCCCUUGGACAAUACCAACUUGGUGAGCAAAGGAGUAGGUCGGCGACACGCCAAAGGGAUCGGCGAUGCCGACCUAGCUCAUCGAAGAUAAUAGAAACAUUAGUAGAAAAGCCACCGCAAGAAGGCGAGAAGAGGAGCACUCGACGCAUCGUCGAUCAAGUCGGCGAGCCCGACUAACUUUGCCGGGUUUACUCCAUGCUAAAAUUCUGAGAAUAUAUAAAUGCAAUUUUGAAAAGAAGAAAGGAGAGCUGAAAAAAUUACCAUAUUGUUCACUGCUGGGUUUUUGAUAUUUUACAUUCUAGAUCAAUGUUUUACAUUUUGGAGCAAGGAUUUAAAUAUUGUGAGAUUUUUAGCUUUAAUUUGAGCAUUUGAAGACUUGUGGAUCGUUACCCAAUUUGAUGGAAAACAUCGUUGGUAACGAUUUCUUAUUUUUUACUAUGUUUGGCUUAAAACCCCAUUCUUGGGGGUGUGAUUAUGUAGUUGAAUAAAUUAAUUAGCUAAUGGGUAUUGUUAGGUACUGAUUUUAUUAUUAUUUUAAAGUGGGUCCAAUUAAUAGUUCGUGUUUUGAUUGAGGAAUUUUAGUUGCAAAUGCAAUUCUAGCUUAGUACUUUAUACUUGCUUGGAAAAGAAGUGUUAGAGUUGAAUUGUUAGUUGAUGAGUGUAUUGAUUGUGUUGUUAUGGAUCUAGCUUGAGAAAGUGGGUUUGAAUGCAAUCUUGCAAAUCUAGCUUGAAAAGGUAUAUUGAUUAAGGUAAUGGGUUGUUAAAUUGUUUUGUGCUCGUUGAGGUUCGAAAGAACUCACUUGAUUCGCAAUAGUUGAUUGAGAAAUGAAUAUUGCACCAAAAACCUAGCCUAUCCACUGAUAUUCAAUAACUUUAAGUAACUCGUAAUCACCCAUUACACUAAAUUGACAUUCAAUUUAUCACACUCCCAAGAAACCUUCUUUUUUUUUCUUACUUCCUGUGUUAGUAGUCGUAAAUUUGUUAUUCAAAUCACCACAUUUGACAUUAAUUGUCAAAACCUUGUGAUUUAACUUAUUGUUCUGAAAUUUAUACAUAUACAAACGAUUAGAGCACCAUUUUACUUCUUAAUCGAAUUCUUUAUCGUAUCACUCCCUGUGGGAUCGACCCUAAUUCUUAAUUGAGUUUAUACUUGUUAACGACCGCCUAAACUUAGAAUAGGAUGAAGUGUAGUUGAGUGUUAUCACUCACCUAAAAUGAACUAAUAUUAAGGAGCUAUUCUAAUGUUGAGGCAAGAGGUGAUUACCCGUUCUCUCUAUUGAAAAACAAGAGGCAAUUACCCAUGUCACAUGAUGUAAGGACAACAAGCGAUUACCCAUGUUCCUUGAAAGGAUAAAAUGAAUAUGAUUAAGAACUAUUCUGUGGAAGUUAAGCUACUUAUUUUGGAAAGUGGGACACCCCUUUUCGGUGUGGGAGACACUAGAUUCCCUGUUAAUAGCUCACAUGGUCUUUUAUGUCGGUUCAGGCUACUUCUCACAAGCAAGCUAUGAUGAACUAAGGUUAUUUCAAGAAUUACCUCACAAGUGACUUAAGAUGAUGUCUAGUUGCAUUGACCAUGUUUUAUGACUUAUGUCUUCUAGUUCUUUUACAUUCAUGAUUUAGCUUGGUCAUUGAAAUAUAUGAAAAUUUCCGUUGUCUCAUGUUUUCAAAUGUUUUAUGUAUGGCUAUCAUACUUUGUACAUAUUUUGUACUAACACAUACUCUUGCCUACAUUUCCCCAAAUGUAGGGACCGACCUUAAAUAAUUCACACUUUCGUGGCUAGGGAUCUCAUAUAGAUUAUUGAAGAUUGGUAAGUCCUUAUCACUGGAAGAUCGAGCUUGAUUUCUUUUUAUCAUUACUUUCAGUUUUGAACUUGAUGUACAUGCUAUGCUCCGAUAAACUCUCAUGUACUAGAUGACUUUGAGACGAUGUUUAGACUUCCACUUUUCUCUAUAAAACUUUGAUAUGUUGAAACUCUUUUAAAUCUUAUUCUAUUAUCUUGUAUGAUGAAACCUAAGUGGCUUGUAUGGGUCCUCUCAGGGACUUAUACGCCACGGUGAGCCUAUGGGCUACCUUGGUUCGUGAUUAGUUACCCACAAUAAAACGACCUUAAAUCACAAAAAUCAAUGAAAACCCAUUCCAAAUUGACCUUCAAAUCAACAAUUUUCGAUUUCUAUACUUUGGAUUUAAAAACUCAACUUAUUGGAUAGAAAUAAUGAAAUAUGAAAGGAAUAUUAUUGGAAAAAGAGUAAAAUAGGGUUAGAAAUAUGUAUCCAGUGACUGUGAAAGAAAAGUGCAUCAAAAAUUACCUCAAACCAAGUUUUCUAGCUCCCAAAAAGUCAAAAAUAUAAAACGGGUUUAAUUAGAUUUUUAACUUAGCGAUUUCAUCACUAAAACCCAUUCUAUCGUCACUACAGGUACACACCAACAACAUUGGAAACAUCUAUUUGAUCCUCUAAUCUCAUUCGGAAUUCUAUUAACACAAAACAAUAGUGCAAAUUCAUCAUAAAACAUAUUUUGGAACAAAUGGAAUUGUCGGAUUUCAAAGAAAUAUAUGGUUAUGACCAAAAUACCCACUAUAAACCUAUUUAGGCCAAAAAUUCAAUUCGUUUCCCUAAAUAUCCGAAUUACAACCUAAUGUAUUGGGACUCUAACCGAUCACCUUACUAGAUCAAACUCGAUGUUUCAAACUCAAUAAACUAACGGAAGCUCCAUACAACGCUCGUAACUCAUAAUGUUGACCAAAGUCAACCAUAUAGAAAAUUCUUAACUAAAAAGGGGAAAUAUAACCAAAAACACACCCGAUCACAUCGAGGACCACACCAACCAUUCCCACAACCCAAACUAAGCAUGAAAAAACUAAGAGGAAGGUCAAAAUGAUCAUUUCAUAAUUAAAAUUAAAUUCACAAGAAAUGUGAUAUUACACUAUCUAUCACUAAAACACAUGUUCAUCCCCAAAUGAAAAGCAAAAAAAUAAGAUACUUGAAAGAGUGAAAAACUAAGGGUAUCUAUGACGCAUGUUGGACUCCACCUCCCGCGUUGCCUCCUCAAUAGAUCGGUGUCUCAAAUGCACCUUCACACAGUCAAUAUGCUUGAAUCUCAAAUUUCUAGUCCGCCUAUCCAAGAUAGUAAUCGGCUCUUUCUUGAAGAACAUACUCUAAUCCAGAGCAACAUAAUCCCACUAAAUCACAUCAAAAUCAUCAUGAUGAUAUCGCUUAAGCGUCGAAACAUGGAAAAUGGGGUGAACCGAUGAAAGGCAGGAGGUAAAGCCAACAUAUAGACUAACUCUCCACACUUUCGCGAAAUCUCAAAAGGUCCAAUGAACCACAAACUGAGCUUUCCUUUCUUUCCAAACCAUAUCACACCUUUGUUGGGUGACACCUUAAGCAAAACCAGCUCACCAAUAGCAAAGGACACAUCCCGAACAAGCCUAUCUACAUAGAUCUUCAGCCAACUAUGUGCAUUCACAAGGUGUUGUUGAUUCAUCUCACUCAAUCCAUGGACUCUCUAAACAAAUCAUUGUCUCAAGAUUGAACUCCAAAUGAAUCAUAUUAAAAAAUGUGAGAUCUAUGCCUCUUCCUAUGCAAAGCCUCAAGAUGUUCCAUUUGAAUGGUGGAAUGGUAACUAUUAUUAUAAGCAAACUCAAAAUGAGGUAGGGAUUUUUCCGAAUGACCACCAAAGUACAAGACACAAGCCCAAAGAAUAUCCUCAAACAGUUGAAUAGUCUGCUCAGACUGACCAUCAACAUAAGAAUGGAAAGCGGUACUUACCUCAAGCUUGGUAUCUAUUUGAUACUACAUAGAACUUGAGAAAUGUGAGGUGAACUGGGUACAUCAGUCAGACACAAUCUCAUGAAUGUAGAUUUUGGAUAACUACUUCGCAUUAUAACUAUUUUUGACAGAAAUGAAAUGAGUUAAUUUAGUCAAUCGGUCUAGUAUCACCUAAACAUAAUCAUGCUUAUCCAAAGCAAAGGGUAAUCGAGUCAUAAAGUCCAUAGUAUGUGCUCCCACUUCCAUUCAGGAAUGGGAAUCCUUUACAUCGUACCGUCCGGUCUUUGAUGACCAUACUUUACUUGCUGACAGUUCAAAUACUUGGCUUCAAAGUCCACAAUGUCUCUCUUCAUAUCACAUAUACUAUAGUGUUUCUUCAGUUCAUGAUACAUCUUUCGUGUCCUCGGAUGGAUAUAAUACUUUGAGCACUGGAUCUCCUCUAAUAUCCUACGCAACUAACCACCCACUGUAGGCACACAAAUAUUACCACUAAUCCUCAAUACUCCCUCGAGAUCAAGAGAAGCUGCCUUAGCUUAACCUUUCAAUACUUUGUCCUGAGUCACUCUCAAGUUAUCAUCUUCACACUGGUGGGCAGGAAUCCAAUACAUCAAAGUAUACCUAGGUUAAACAAAGGCUUAACAUAGUGAGUUGUAGAAAUAUCAAGUCGAACCAACUGUUUAGCCAAUGAAUGAACCUCCAAGGCCAUAGGUCUCUCAUCUGCCUUAAGAAAGGCUAAACUACCCAUUCUAGGAGUUUUCUGAAUUAAAGCAUCUGCUACCACGUUUGCCUUUCUUGGAUGAUAAAGAAUGGUAAUGUCAUAGUCUUUUAACAAUUUCAACCAUCUACACUGCCUCAUGUUAAGAUUUUGCUGAGAAAAGAGAUACUUAAGGCUAAGAUGAUCAGUAAAGAUCCCACAAUGCACACCUUAGAAAUAAUGCCUUUAUAACUUCAAAAGCAACACCAUUAUCACUAACUCUAAAUCAUGAGUAGGGUAGUUCUUGUCAUGUACCUCCGACUAUUGAGAAUCAAUAAGUAUCCUCAUACUAUCAUCCUUCUUAUUGCCAAAUAAGAUUGGUACUCCCCAAGGUGAUACACUAGGUCGAAUAAAUCCUUUCUGCAAUAAGUCCUCCAAUCUAGCGUCUAAUUCCAUCAACUCCGCCAGAGUCACCUAGUAAAGAUACAUGGAAAUAGGCUUAGUGCUCGGUUUCAAGUCAAUAAAAAAAUAAUUAUGACAUUUAGGUUGAACACCUGGUAAGUAUCUAGGAAACACAUCCAUGAACUCUCUUACAACUCUCGUUGCCUCCAAAAAGGAUUGAUCUUUAGAAAGAUCACAAACAUGGGCCAGAUAAGAUAAGCAUCCCUUCUCCAUCAUACAAUGGGCACAAAGAAAGAAUAUCUCUCCCUUCAGAUACGAACUCAGCGCACUCUUCCAUACCAAUCAAGGUAAACUGGGUAAGCUAAGGUCACAGUCUUAGCAUAACUAUCAAGGUCCGUGUGAUAAGAAGACACCCAACCCAUACACAAUAUCACAUCAAAGUCAAUCAUAUCAAGAAAAAUCAGGUCUACCUGAGUGUCAUUAUCAGACAAUUUCACUACACACCCUUGAUACACCCAAUCAAGGACUAAGAAAUUUCCUAUCGGGGUAGAGACACUAAUAAGCACAAAAAGGGACUCAAAAACAUGAUAAAUACCCACAACAAAAUAAGUAGACACAAAAGAAUAGGUCGACCUGAGAUCAAAUAAUAAUGUAGCAAAACAACGACAAACUGGAACGAUACAUGUGAUCAUUACAUUUGAAACCUCUGCCUCAGAUCUACCAUGUAUAGCAUAUAACUGUAGCAAAUCAAUGACAGACUGGAACGGUACAUGCUAUCAUUACAUCUCAAGCCUCUACCUCAGAUCUACCAUGUAUAGCAUAUAAGUGUAUGUGGUCACCACUAGUCUAAAAGCACUACACGCACCACCUUAAGCUCCCUGAGCUCCACCUUUGGUGCCCUUGGCACCCUUUUCUACCACUUUGAGAAGUCCCUCGUGCCGCUGUAGGUAGUGUAAAAUGAGUAGCUUGUGACCUAGGCUAGUAGAAGAAGCACGUAUGGGUCAAUCCUUUGCCUUGUGCCCAAACUCCUCGCAAACAAACCAACCACAUAGACAAUAACCCCACUGAAAGUAACCAGAAGAGUCUUCAUGCUGACAUGAGGACCCACUAUGCGUAUCCUAAUCGAUUGACUAGGACAGGAUCCACUAAUGCUAUCUGAAAUUUGAACCUGAAUGGAAUCCUAAAUUGGUCUAUCCUGAUAACCCUAUGAGCCAUGACCUAAUUAAUCUAUACAUCUAAUCGUAAUUAGCGACAUACUCGGAAACUAAUAAGGAUCCGUACUUUAAUCUACCGAACUCAUCCUUGCGUUGAUCUCAAAGGUUGUAGGGAACAAUCCUCUGAAGGAACACCUCAGUAAAUAGCACACCAACAGAUAAAAGGAGAACCAACGAUCCUAUGAGAAAGAAUUGAUCUCUACCACUCCUGGCAACUCCUGAAAACUGAUAAGAAGUGUAACAUAAUCCAUGGGCCUUUAACAUACCAUGGUUGAACAACCUUUUGUGAAACCAGUCAAAAAGUCAUAAGCCUUCUCUUAAUGUGUACUGUCAAACCUGGGAGAUGGCAAUCUGAAAAAUCUCUCAAAACUCUUUUUCUCGGCAACAUACAUCAUUGAACUAUCAAAGAUUUGUGGAGUUGCAAAUAUCGGAGGUGCCAAAGAAGGUACUGAAGCUGAACUACAAAUCUGAAAUCCCUUACUAGGAACCUGAAUUUGUGGUGUAGCACAUACUUUAAUAGGUGAAUCUGUAGUGCUCGAUGGAUAAAAGAAGUAAGGAUACUAUCAAAUCUAGCCAAUAACCUAACAAUUAACUUCUGAAGCAUCGAGCACUAGCAGGAACAACAUGAGGUUGGGCUAGUCCCCAUACCUCAGUCUAUUUUUGAAUAACAUCAUCAUGCUCAAAUACGAGCUCAAGCAAUGCCUCUCUAGCUCAUCAUCGAGUAGGAGCCUCCCUCUCGAACCUGACCUUCACCCCUUAACAAAAAAAUAAUUGAUUAGUGGUUUACAACACUUGAUAUGAAUAACUCACAUUAUAAGGAAUCAAAGAAAAGGAAUUCAUCCUACUAGGUAUCUUGUAGCCUCACGAAAAUAGGUACAACCGUUUACGUCCUGAUUGACAAUAAUUUACUAGAUGCCCUAUUUUUUAACUUAUGGUACUGGUGAACCUAGUGCUCUGUUACUAAUUCGUCAUGACCCAAAAGCCAAGGUCAUUAUGGCAUAUACCCCAUGAACUCCAAAAUGGUGUGUAAGAAAAAUAAUCAAACAUACAAGUCUCUCGAAGGGAAGUCAAGCCACGAUGAUAGAAAAACAACAAAGAAUAUCCCAAAACAUGGUAGCAUAAGUAUAAAGAGCAUCUAAUACAUUUCUAGAAUCUAAAAUACAUCUCAAGUCUUUGAAAAAAGUCAAAGGCUUUAAAUAAUGGACGGAGACUAAUGGUGAUCUGCAAAAUAGGAUCUCACCACAACUCCAAAAGAGAGAACUCCGGUAGAUCUAGUCAACUUAUACAUGGCUCACCCUAACUAGGAUCUCCAUCAAAGGGAUAAAAGAAGUAGGGGCUGAGUACAAUCCACAAGUACUUAGUAGGCUUGACCGACUAAGAAAAAAGAAUUAAUCAACUUAUGAAGUAUACUAAGGAACACUUUAACCUGCAUACAGAAAAGUCCCAUUCCGUCAUCAAUGUCACCAAUUAAAAAUGAACAACAAGAGUAAAGUAAACACAUAAGGUCACAAAAGUUCCCAUAUCACAGACAAGUCAAGCAAUUCAAAUGAUUAAUGCAAUGCAAUGAGAUGGUGCAAUGAUGUGGUUGUACACAGGAAUCAACGUUGUCGCACAACUUAUCGUAUACACCCUAUCGAGCUCGGGAUCCUAGAAAAUUACUUAUGAUGGACUCACAGUCCAUAUAUUUCAUGACCCGAGAGCUCUAGUCGUAACACGGUGUACUCGACCCCGAAGGGGUCAAAUACAAGCCUCAUAAAAUUCUUGAACAUAAGAACAUAGGAAAAUAAAGAAGAAUUUAAAACUUUCUUUACAAUCAAUGAUAUUUCGAUUAAAAGCAAGCGGAAGACGUUCUAGAAUUUAUAUACAAUGUCUCAAACCAUCUAAUACUUUACCCAUACUAAAGCUUUACCAUAAACUAAAAGACAUAAAGGAACAAAGUGGGUAUUGUCCUCGAAACUAUGAGGACUCACCAAGUCUUCAUCUUCAAGCACCUUAGAAACCUAUCCUUCAAGCCUAGAAUACCAAUAUCUCCAAACCCUACACUUUGGUAAGAAGGGAGAAGAAAUAUGGGUUAGCACAUUAGAUGUACUAAGUAUGGAAGACAUGGAAAAACAUGAUUAAAAGGGCAUCUUUGUUUGAAAGUCAUGAUAUAUGCUAUUAUAGUAAAAGUUCACGAACAUUGAUAAAAGAGGCAUAAUAUAAGUCACAACCAACAUGGAAGUCACAUUUUCACAUUAGAACAUAAUCCACAUAUGAACCUAUGCCUUCACCUUAAGCCUUAACCUCAAGUAACCCUCAAGCUAUAUUUUGUGCAAUGUAUGGAUAGCGUCCCAUACCACCAUCCACACCAAAGUACCACCUAAAGGUCACCAAAAGUGAACAUACCAUUCAACCUUUCCAUCUUCACACAAUAAAAAAUACAAGAGACAUAAACAUUUCAUCAGACACAUCAUCAGAUUAAGACCAACAUCUAGGACAACUCUAAGUCAUACUUGUGCAAGGUGCAAGUAGCAUCCCAUACUACUACUCAAACUAAGUACUCUUUUGAAGUCACCAUAGAUAAGGCACAUUCAUACUCAACAAGUCAUAACAAGGAAGUAACUCAUAAUACAAUCAAAGUAUAACAUGCAUCUUCACAUUAGACAUAUAAGAAUUUAAGUCACCCAUUCUUCAUUAGCUUCAUUAAGAACACCUCCAUUCAUUAGACAUUAAGCCAAUAUUAUUAGUAACAUUAUCAUAAGAGCUCAUUCAUUUCAAUUAACAUUAUAAAGGAACACACCGUGACCACUCUCAAAGCCUACUUGUGCAAUGCAUAGAUGGUGUCCCAUACCACCACCCAUACUAAGUAGUGCAUCCUUGAGAAGUCAUAGUUAAUUAGUUCGUGGGGGUAAGCCUUAACCGACAUAGUCCAUGAGAUCUUGACUUGGAAUCCCAGUGUCACCCUCACCGGAUAAGGGAUUCCUACUUGCCUAAGGUAGGAGCAUUCAUUUUAGCUUAAGUGCAUCCACUAGCUAGACCUAUGUGGGCACAUAGUUAUGGGAUAGGGAGAUUGCUACUAGAUACCCUGCCUCAACUCACGGAUGACCAUCCAUCUCAAGAGGUUGCUACUAGAUACCCCGCCUCAACUCACGUAUGAGCAUUCACCCCAAUUCCUAUCCACUAGGUGAUUGGCAUUAUUCCCCACGUAGUACUUGACAUUGAUUUCAUUAGUUCAAUAUGAGAUAAGGGAUUGCUACUAGAUACUCCACCUCAACUCCCGGAUGAGUAUCCAUUACAACCUAACAUUCAUUCAUUGGAAAGAUCAUAGAUUCAAAGAUGAGAAUAGCCUUUCACCUAAGAAUCCCAUAUUGUGAGAAAGUCCUUGGAAAACAUGUAUUUUUUUUCAUUAGAGUACAAUUGAGAAUAGCCUUUCAAUAGACUCAACAUUCAUUAAUAGUAUCAUAGAACUUCAUUCAUUAGUCAUUCGUGAGUGUGUGUGAGUAUGUGAGAAUAGCCUUUCACAUAUAGCCUCAUCAUUCAUACCAUUGCCUUCUAAACAUGAUUAUAACUCAUUCAUAAGGAUCACACACAUAUAAUUCUAAUCAUAUUCAUACAUUAACCAUUCAUUCAUUCAUGAGUGUCGGAUUGAGACAUAGCCUUUCAAUAAUAACACAUUUACAAUGUAGACAAGAUCAUCAUUCUAUCAUUAUAAUCCCAUGCAUAUCCUUCACAUCACAUUCAUAUAUAAAACAUCAUGAUAAUACUUCAAUUACUCACACUAUGCCUUCAAGGCCAUGAUCACAUUGUACAUAAUAAGUAAACACCUCCACCUUUCAAGUGGAUCAAUAUACAAAGUAAGUAAACACCUCUACCUUUUAAGUGGAUCAAUAGCUCAAGCAUAAUUCUAACUCAACAUGAAAUUAGGUCAUCACUUGCCCUUUCAAGGCCAUGAUCAUAAGUCACCAACAAACCUUUAACUAAUAUAAUUAGGCAUGAAUAGUGAUUCAAUUCAACAAUCUAAAUCAGUUUAGGCAUAAUCCAUCAACAUUCAUUCAUGAUCAUCAAACCCACUUCAUAAGGUACAAUUUAGGAAUUGAGAGAAUUCAUGGGUUCGUAUAUUAUUUUCAUUAUAAAUAAUAAAUUAAACACUAAUACAAUCAUAAUUUGUCAUUGGAAACCAUUUGAAAAUGUUUGAUGAAAGAACCCAUGAUAUUGAGUGAAAACCUAGAUUUUCAUGAUUUGAAAUCUUCUUUGAAUUCGCUCCUUGAAUGGAAAAUUAGACAAGGAUUAAGACCACCAUACCUUUUACUUGAAGAAUCCCACGAAACAUCCUUGAAAACUUGAAGAAUUUGACCUUGAAAUCUUGAAGUCUUCACCUCCCAUGGAGGUUUCUAGAGAGAGAUUUUUGGAGGGGAGGGAAGGUUUUGAUUUGGGGUUUUUGAAUAAUGAAAUCUAAAAUAGGGUUUAAAUGUUUUAAUACUCUUAAAAUAUGUUAAUAAACCUAAAAUAACCGUCCAAACACUUAACUAGCCAAGGGAGGAAUUUACCAGACCACCUUUGGCUUGGCUGUGUCGUGAUAGCACACAUAGGUGCAAACGACGCCCAGACUCACGGACCGUGAGUCCAUUCACCGACCGUACUGCUAGUCCUUGGUCUGGGGCUGGGGCUUGGCAAAAAGGGGGCAUGACCUACAGGGCAAGACCAUGAGCCGUAGAUCAAUCUACUGGCCGUGGAUUGCAUCCGUGGUUCACAAGGUUUUGGCAGCUUUUUGCUUGAAGGGGCAGCCUUGGGGUUAGGCUUUAGGGUCCCCCUCAAGGACCCUUGGUUGGUCCUUGGGGGGUCGUACCUUGAUGUUUAAUCCCUAAAACCCUCAACCAUAGCUCGGGAAAACAUUUAACAACAUGAAACCUCAUUCAAACCUCACAUCAAACUCAAACACACACACGUUAGGCUCUAGUUUCACUUAUUCACUUUUAGGGUCAUUAAAUUAUCCCCCACUUAGGAACAUUCAUCCUCGAAUGACACUUAAAACACAUUAAGGGAAAACGACUCAAGACUAGGAGCCCAUCAUGCAUGCAAUCAUCAUAAAUAAUGCACAAAACAAGGAGGAAAUCUCCACUCCACAUCAAACAAACUCCAUACAAUUCAAGAAAGUAGGAACUAUAUCUACAAACUCAUUAUGCAACAAAACUUCACAUUCUUCAUUUCAUUGGAGGAACUUCUUUCUCCAAAUCACAUCAUGCUCAUCAUAACAUCAUUAAGCACAUUUAAGAAAUUUUCUCAUAAAAGCACAUUUAGGCAUGUGCAACAUUUAACCUCAUGAAGCAUGUAAGUAGCUCAUACUAAAUGCACAUUCACAUGAGGAACAUAAUUCAUGAAAACUCAUUUUCUCAUUCAAUCAAGAAUUCAUUAAGAACAUGUAUAACAUAAGGAGACCAUGGAAACACAAUAUCACACAUGACUCAAAAAACAUGAAACAAGCCAAGAAGGAACUCUUUGUCUUAGGCUUGAAUAGGCAUAUAAAGAAAGAGGUAAGGAUAUCAGAAUUGUCAACAACCUUACUAAUCAACAUACUAUCCCCGACUUAGGAUUAAACCCAACUAAGGAACCUUAACAAGACAUUCACAACCAUAAGGAACUAUCAACAAAUCGGUGCUUUUAAACUAGGAAGGUCCUUAUUAAGCAUCUCUUACUCACAACAACAUUACCAACACCACUCAAGGUGUCAUAUGGGUCUACCACACCGGGUCUAAACUCCUCAAACUCACUACAUCUCAUAAGGUGAGAACAUCAAGCAAGCCUAACUCAUGAACAUCAAAGUUACUCAAAGACCUUACCAUCAAGGUACAUUCUCCCCCAUUUGGGAGAAAACUUAUACUCGCUCUUUCAAACUUUACUUCUCUCCAUUCUAAUGUCGGAGAAAAACAUCUCUAAACCUUCAUACUCAUCACUUAACACCUAGGCAUUUCUAAAACACCACAUUUCAUCAACUCCUUCAACAUACCUCAAGACUCAUCAUGACUAAGCCGGGUUCUACCAACAACACACAUAACCAUAAGGCAACCCAUUCAUACUAAAGUUAACACUACAAUCUAUCAUCUCAACUCUAUCAAGUAACAUAGUCGUAAUUGGCCUCAUAACCAACCUUCCUCCCGCACACCUUCUAACAUACUCCUUCAAGCGGUCAUACACUAAAGACCAUAGGAUAAGGAACAAGAGGGAGACACUAUAGAGCUAAAAUCUAUGGCACGACUUGAAGAAUGAAGAAGUGAGAUUUUCUUAACACCCAAUAGUCUCCUAUUCAUAAUGUGGCGCGCUUCACAUUAUGAACAAGACUCUACUAGAUGUGGUUUGAGACAUCCUAAGACCAUUCCAAAAUCUUGUGCUCUAAUACCAUAUUUGUCACGACCCGAGAGCACCCUCUAGUCAUAACACGACGUACUUAACCACGAAGGGGUCUAAUACAAGCCUCAUAGCAUUCUUGAACAUAAAAACAUAGGAAAAUAGAGAAGAAUUUAAAACUUUCUUUACAUCCGAAGACAUUUCCAUUAAAAGCAUGCGGAAGACUUUCUAGACUUUAUAUACUAUGUCUCAAACCAUCUAAUACUUUUCAUACAACAAUGAGACUUAGCCCAUACAAAAGCUUUAACAUAAACUAAAAGACAUAAAGGAACAAAGUGGGUAUUGUCCUCGAAAGUAUGAGGACUCACCAAGUCUUCAUCUUCAAGCACCUUGGAAACCUAUCCUUCAAGCAUAGAAUACCAAUAUCUCUAAACCCUACACUUUAGUAAAAUGGGAGAAGAAAUAUGGGUUAACACAUUAGAUGUACUAAGUAUGGAAGCCAUGCAAAAACAUGCUUAAAAGGACAUCUUUGUUUGAAAAUCGUGAUAUAUACCAUUUUAGUAAAAGUUCAUGAACAUUGAAAAGAGGCAUAAUAUAGGUCACAACCAACAUGCAAGUCACAUUUUCACAUUAGAACAUAAUCCACAUAUGGACCUUUACCUUCACCUUAAGACUUUACCUCAAGUAACCCUUAAGCUAUACUUUGUGCAAUGUAUGGACAGCGUCCCAUACCACCAUCCACACCAAAGUACCACCUUAAGGUCACCAAAAGUGAACUUACCAUUCAACCUGUUCAUCUUCACACAAUAAAGCAUACAAGAGACAUAAACAUUUCAUAACUCACAUCGUCACAUUAAGACCAACAUCUAGGACAACUCUAAGUCAUACUUGUGCAAGGUACAAGUUGCAUCCCAUACUACUACUUACACUAAGUACUCCUUUGAAGUCACCAUAGACAAGGCACAUUCAUACUCAACAAAUCAUAACAAGGAAGUAACUCAUAAUACAAUCCAAUUAUAGCAUGCAUCUUCACAUUAGACAUAUAAGCAUUUAAGUCACCCAUUCUUCAUUAACUUCAUUAAGAACACCUUCAUUCAUUAGAUAUUAAACCAACAUUCCUAUUAACAUUAUCAUAAGAGGUCAUUCAUUUAAUUUAACAUUAUAAAGGAACACACCAUGACCUCUCUCAAAGCCUACUUGUGCAAUGCAUAGAUGGCGUCCCAUACCACCACCCAUACUAAGUAGUGCAUCCUUGAGAAGCCAUAGUUCAUUAGUUUGUGGGGGUAAUCCUUAACCGACAUAGACCAUGAGAGCUUGACAUGGAAUCCUGGUGUCACCCUCACCGGAUAAGGGAUUCUUAUUUGCCCAAGGUAGGACCAUUCAUUUUAGCUUAAGUGGAUCCACUAGCUAGACAUAUGUGGGCACAUAGUUAUGCGAUAGGGAUAUUGCUACUAGAUACCCCGCUUCAAUUCAUGGAUGAUCAUUCAUCUCAAGAGGUUGCUACUAGAUACCCCUCCUGAACUCACGGAUGAGCAUCUACCCUAAUUCAUAUCCACUAGGUCCUUGGCAUUAUUCCCCAUGUAGUACUUGACAUUCAUUUCAUUAGUCCAUUAUGGGAUAAGUGAAUGCUAAUAGAUACUCCGCCUCCACUCCCGGAUUAGUAUCCAUCCCAAAAACACAUUUAUUCAUUGGAAAGCUCAUAUAUUCAAAGAUGAGAAUAGCCUUCCACCUAAGAAUCCCAUAUUGUGGGAAAGUCCUUUCACAACAUAUCUUUUCUUUCAUUAUAGUACAAUUGAGAAUAGCCUUCCAAUACACUCUACAUUCAUUAACAUUAUCAUAGAACUUCAUUCAUUAGUCAUUGAUGAGUGUGUGUGAGUAUGUGAGAAUAGCCUUUCACAUAUAGCCACAUCAUUCAUACCAUUGCUUUUUAAAUAUAAUUAUAACUCAUUCAUAAGGAUCACACACAUAUAAUUCUAAUCAUAUUCAUAUAUUAACUAUUCAUUCAAUCGUGAGUGUCACACUGAGAAAUAUCCUUUCAAUAAUAACACAUUUACAUUCUAGGAAAGAUCAUCAUUCUAUCAUUGAAAUCCCAUGCAUAUCUUUCACACACAUUCAUAUAUACAACAUCAUGAUAAUACUGCAAUUACUCACACUAUGCCUUCAAGGCCAUGAUCACAUUGUACAUAAUAAGUAAACACCUCCUCCUUUCAAGUGGAUCAAUAUACAAAGUAAGUAAACACCUCCACCUUUCAAGUGGAUCAAUAGCUCAAGCAUAAUUCUAACUCAACAUGAAAUUAGGUCAUCACUUUCCCUUUCAAGGCGAUGAUCAUAAGUCACCAACAAACCUUUAACUAAUAUAAUUAAACAUGAAUAGUGAUUCAAUUCAACAAUCUAAAUCAAUUUAGGCAUAAUCCAUCAACAAUCAUUCAUGAUCAUCAAACCCACUUCAAAAGGUACAAUUUAGGAAUUGAGAGAAUUCAUGGGUUCAUAGAAUAUUUUCAUCAUAAAUCAUAAAUUAAAAACUAAUAAAAUCAUAUUUUUUCAUUGGAAACGAAUUGAAAAUAUUUGAUGAAAGAACCCAUGAGAUUGAGUGAAAACCUAGAUUUUCAUGAUUUGAAAUCUUCUUUGAAUUGGCUCCUUGAAUGGAACAUUAGACAAGGAUCAAGACCAACACACCUUUUACUUGAGGAAUCCCACGAAACAUCCUUGAAAACUUGUAGAAUUUGUCCUUGAGAGCUUGAAGUUUUCACCUCCCAUGGAGGUUUCUAGAGAGAGACUUUUGGAGGGGCGGGAUGGUUUUGAUUUGGGAUUUUUGAAUAAUGAAAUCUAAAAUAGGGUCUAAAUGUUUUAGUACUCUUAAAAUAUGCUAAUAAAUCCAAAAUAACCAUCCAAACACUUAACUAGCGAAGUGAGGAAUUUACCAAACCACCCUUGGCUUGGCCGUCUUGACAGCACACACAGGUGCAAACGAUGCCCCAGACUCACGGACUGUGAGUCCAUUCACGGACCGUACUGCUGGUCCGUGGUCUGGGGCUGGGGCUUGGCAAAAAGGGGGCUUGACCUACGAAGCAAGAUAACGAGCCAUAGAUCAAUGUACUGGUCGUGGAUUGCAUCCGUGGUUCACAAGGUUUUGGCAGAUUUUUCCUUUAAGGGGCAGCCUUGGGGUUCCCCUCAAGGUCCAUUGGCUGGUCCUUGGGGGGUCGUACCUUGAUGUUUAACCCCUAUAACCCUCAACCAUAGCUCAGGCCAACAUAGAACAACAUGAAACCUCAUUCAAACCUCACAUCAAACUCAAACACACAUGUUAGGCUCUAGUUUCACUUAUUCGCUUUUAGGGUCGUUACAAUAUGCCUACUCACAAUCUCAAUAUCUCAUUAAACUUGCCACCUCAGCAUUGUCAAGGAUAUAAAAAUGUGUCUGGUUUUUUUCUCAAAAGGAAUGUCCACAUUUUCUCAAUUUUGCAAAAAAUGAUAUGAUGAAUGAGGAUGGACGCAUCACAACACAUAUAUAACAUAGAGGCAAUAAUCAACUCAACAUGUAUCAACUAUAUACAUUUUUCAAAACUCAGCCAAAUCAUGAUGUACACCCUCAUAUGAAAUAAAUAGUGUGCAAUAGUUUAUUUGGAAUAAGUGAAUUCAAUUUAGAAAGCAUUUCGUUUAGUCAAAGAAUUAUAAAGUUUCCAACUUAACCCCUCGCCCAGGCUUUAGAGGUAAAAUAGAAUUACAUGUCUCUCUCAUAGGCAACUCAUGAAUCAUAUGCUCUAAAAAAACAACAAUUAAGGCCUCAACACAUGCUAAAUAAAAACAUAUUACCCCCAAAAAGGCAGCAUAAUAUAUUUAUUCCUCCGCACUGGCAACACAAUACAACUCACAACCUAAAAUUAUGUUAUGAUCCCAUCCCACAACCUAAGACAUAAGACAAAUCAAUUACUCAAUCCCACUCUAGGAGAAUAUAACACCCCGUAGUCUAGUAAACCAUCUAGGGUUAUGUUCGAGGGCUACAAGUCAAGACUAGAGGGCAUGAGCCAAGGCAAGGGGGCAAGAGCCAAGCCUGCCCCAAGCUUGCCAUGGAACUACCUAUGACCACGAGAUCCUUCACAGCUCAUGGUGGCCACCACAGAUCAUCGUGCCACCCGUGGUGGUGAGGUAGUGUGCCCCUCAAGGCAGCCCAAAAUGGCCUCCUCCACACGAGCCACUUCACGGCUCGUGGGAGUGGUAGUUAAGGUACCUUCAACUUUUGGGAAGCCAAGCCCUCAUGCCAAGCUACUGGACCAUGGACCAUGAGCAGGACCACAGCUCGUGGUCUUGACCACGGCUCGUGAGCCCUGUCGUGGUGCCUGGCACCAUGCUGCUUAAGUGAGGGCAAAAUAGGAAAUUCCUUUUUUAUCUAGUAUUAAGUGGGGUCGUUUUUUAUAGAGUUUAUACCAUUAUAUAAGUUAUUUUAACACUUUAACCACCUCAAUUAAGUCAUUAUUUCCCAAGACCCAAAUCAAAUCCCCAAAAGCUCUGCUCUCAAAUAUUUCUCUCUCUAGAAAACUCAAGAAGAAGAAGAAAAAGAAGAGGGUCAAGCUAGAUUAAGUCUCCAUUGUUUCAAGCUUGGUAGGAUUUGUAAUCAAGUUAUGAUGGAUUAUUCUUUCAUUUAUUCCUUUCAUCGAUGAAGCCCCCAUGUUUCCCCCAAUUGUGAAUAUGAAUCCCCAAUUCUAAUUAGGGUUCCUUCCUAUAUUGUGGGUAUUGUUGUAUGUUAAUCCAAUUUCGUGAAUAAUGGUUGUUUAUGAUUGAUUAUGAUGUAAUUGCAUGUUUUUAGUAUGACCAUGUGUGUAUUCUUGAUCGAUCUAAGAUUUUAGGAUGAAAUUGAUAUAGUUGGGUCUUAUGCCAUGAAAGAGGAAAUUGAGGGCUUAGAAGUGAUCUCCUAAGAUUGAUGAAUUACUUUAUGAAUUAUUUGAGAUUAGACUAUCUAAAUAUGAAUUGCUUAAAAGUAAAUCUUGUAAACAUGAAUUAAUUAGAUUAGGGAUUAUAUGAUGAAUCAUUAUUAAGUUGUAUUGAGAUUGAGUUUAAUGAUGAUAUAUGACUAGAAAUGCUUAAGGAUGAAGCAUGUGGUUAGAUUGUCUUUAGAAUUAGGCAAAUAUGGUUACCAUGUGAAGUAUUUCUUGAGAGUAAGGCUUGUAGUAUGAAUGUGAGCUUUAGGGCUUUAAGGGUAAGAGCUAAUAUGAAUGAACUAAGAAUGUUAAGGCUUUAAGAGUGAAGUUAUUAUGUAUAUUGAUUUUUAUAAGGUAUUAUUCUGGAAGGACUUCACCCACAUGACCUAUAUUAUGAGUAUAUGCGAUCAUGUAUGUAAUUGAUUUGAUUGCUUGAAUUGUGAUUAUAUCCAUGUCUAAUGUAGUCAUCCUAGAUAUGUUGAUUUAAAAUGAUCUUUGACCCUUGAAAGGGUAAUAUAUGAUAAUAUGCAUGUUUUAUGAGACUUAUGUAUAUGCUUUAAGAACCCUUUUUUGAGUUAGGUGAUUAUGACUAUGAUGUAAUGGUGGUGUUGUUCAAAGGCUACCCUCAUAUACACACUUAUGCAUGACUAUAAAUGAAGUGUCCAUGAUUAUGAUAAUGUUGUUGUGUUGAUUGAAUGGUUAUUCUCAUGAACACAUAAUGAACAUGAUGUGAAAGGUUUUCUCACAAUAUGAUAAUUCUAAGGGUGAAAGGCUUGCUCACCUAAUUGAAUCUAACACGAACAUGUAGAUAUAGAUGGUGAAAGGCAUUUCUCCCACAUGAUCUAAUGAGCUAUCCUAAUAAAACAAGUUAGGGCUUAACAAGUACUCUAUGGGAAUUAUGCUUAGCACCGAGAUGAUAUUGAAUAUGAGAUAAAAGCUUUUACAUCAGUUGAGUCCGCCUUUCCAAAUAGGUUCCUUCUACGUCAGUUGAGUCCAGGUCCCCUAAACAUGUAUCUCAUGAGAUGGAUACCUUCUACCAUAGUUGAGUCCGGGUUUCUAGUAGCAAUAUCCAUAUCCCAUAAACUACAUGCCCCCGUAGGAUAUUUAGCUGUUGGAUCCACCUAAAGAUAACAUGCCAUGGUCUUACCUUAGUCAAGUAAGACAACCCUUUUCAGUGUGGGUAACACCGAAUUCCAUGAUAAGCUCACAUGACCUAUGUUGGUUAAGGCUAAAUCCCACUAUCAAAAAAUGGCUAUGAAAUAUGAACUAUGGUUACUUGAGGAGCUUUACUUAGCAUGGUGAUAUUACUGGAAAUUACUCAUGCAUUGCACAAGUAUGCUUUGAGGGUAUUCAUUGUAUGUUCUCUUAUGUUAUGAUGAUCUAUGUAAUGAAUAAGCUUAUGACUUGUGCUUGUGAUGUAUGCUUGGUUGGAUUGUAGCUUGAAAGGCCCUUCCAAUACAUGUGUGACUAAAGGUGAAUGUUCCAUUGUCUAUGAAAAAUAAGCUAAGGAUGAGGUCAAAUAGUAAGUAUGAUUAUUGUGGCCAAAAAGGGUACUUAGCAUGGGUGCGAUUAUGGGGUCUUAUCUAUGCAUUGCACAAGUAUACUUGGAGGUUUCUUAUGAAGUAUUUCCUUAUGAAAUGAAGGUCUAAGUGUUUACUAUGUAUAUGGACCAUGCUUUAUGACGCUUGAACUAUGCCUAUGUUGGAUAUUAUGCUUAUGAUUAGAUUGUUAUCUUUUAUGUUUAUAACCUAUGUCUCAUGAUGAUGUCUCUUAUACUUAUGACUUAUGUUAUUGCCUCUUAUGGUUAAGGUAUAUGUCUUAUGCUGAUUAAUGCCUCUUAUGUGCUUAUAUUGAUGAUUUAUGCUAGCCAUCAUAUUUAGUACAUUAUUGUGCUAUCACAUACUUUUGCCUACAUUCUUAUCAAAUGUAGGGUUUGGCAAUAUUGAGUUCUAUUCUCGUGGCUAGGUUCUAGUAGAGCAAAUUAGUUGAAGACUUGGUGAGUGCUCAUAGCAUCGAUGAUUUGAUCACCUUUCUUUUAUGUUCUACACUAUUGUAUGGGCUGCGUCCCAAAGUUUUAUUUAAGUGGUUUAGAUGGUUUGAGACAAAAUGUUUUAGACUUCCGCUUGUUUUUAUAAAAGACUUCGAUUGUUAUGAAAAUUGUUUUAAAUUUUCGCAUCAUUUCUAUUAUGUUAUGUUAUUAUAUACUAAGGGGCUUGUAUGACACCCCUUCAGGGUUGAGUACGCCUUGUUACAUCUAGGGGGUACCCCUGGGUCGUGACAAACUUGGUAAUCAGGGCACAAGGUUUAGAAUGAUUCUAAGAUUGUCUCAAAACCAUGUCUAGUAGUGUCUUGUUCAUAAGUGUGAAGAGCGCCACAUUUAUGAGUAGGAAUCUAUUAGAUGGUUAGGAAAUCUCACUUCUUCAUUCUUUAUGUCGUGCCAUAGAGUUUAACUCUAGUAGGUCUUUCUCCUAAUUUGUGUGAUUUUUAGGAUAUGGCUGAUACAAGAAAAAAUACUAGGAGGAAAGAGGAAGACAAUGUGAAUCAAGAAGUUCCUCCCCAUGCUAUAGUUGACCCUUUAGCUGUGAAUGUGACUAAUAAGAAGUUUAGGAUUGGUUUUCAAAUGUUGACUCAGGCUGGGAUAGAAACUCUAAAAUUUUAUGGGUUAAAGAUGGAGGAAGAUUUUCAGGAUUUUAUACAUGAGGUCUCAAAGGUGUUGGACUUUGUUGGAGUGACUCCUGUAGAGAAGGCGGAGUUGGCUUCUUACAAACUCAAAGGGGUUGCUCAAGUAUGGUUUAAUCAAGGGAAAGAGGCUAGACCGGUGGGAAUGGGUCCCGUAGAAUGGGAAAGGUUCAAGAGUGUGUUUCUAGAUUGGUUCUUCCCUCUAGAGGUGAGAGACGUUUUGGUGCUUGAGUUCAUCAAACUUAGGCAAGGUAAUAUGAGUGUUAAGGAAUAUGCAUUGAGGUUCAGCCAAUUGUCUAAGUGUGUUCCACGUUUGGUGUCCUAUUCUAGAUUGAAGAUGAGUAAGUUUGUAUCGGGAUUGUCCGAUUUACUAGUAAAAAAAUGUUGUACAACCAUGCUUGAUAAUGAUAUGAAUAUUUCUCGUCUUGUGGCUUAUGCUCAACAAAUUGAUGAAGAGAAACUUGAAGUAAGGUUUAGGGAGAAAAAGAGGCUUAGGGUUGAUGAUGAUAAUUCUUCUCUUGAAAGGUUCUCCGGACAAGGUCCUUCUAGUUUUUCCCCCAAGAUUUAUUGAAGAAAGGGUGUCUAACCCUAAGUCUUAAGUAAAGGAUGGUAGAGCCAUAUUACCUUCUUGUGUUAGAUGUGGCAAAAGACGUAAAGGUAGAUGUUUGUCCGGUAUGGAAUAUUGUUAUGGUUGUGGUAGGAGUUGCCACAAAAUAAGAGAUUGCCCAGUACUUACCGCUUGGGGAAGAGAGAGGAACGAAAUUAGGUCCUAUGCUCUCCAAGCUAGAGGUUAACAAGAGAGUUCUCCGAAUGUUGCUCCCGGUAUGUGUUUUAUGCUUAUUUAGAUUCCGGUGUUUCUUGUAUUUUGUGUGACUUGAUAGACUUAAUAUGUUAGACUUUGAUGUUGUCCUUAGUAUGAAUGAGUGGCAUUGAUGUUUAGUGAUAUUGAUGGUAGAACCCUACUUGGCCAUUUUGAGUGUUGGGUAAGUUAGAAGGUUUGAGGAAUAGGGUGUUUAAGUAAUUCCUACUAGUGUUGAAUGAGUAGACUCCUCUAAAAAGGAUAGAAGUGUAAUCCACCAUGGUUUAGAAUCAUCUUGUAUGGCGGAUGUGAAAACAUAGUGAUGACUUGCUCUUGCCUUAGAAUUGAAAGGAAAUGAUGGUUAGAAGAGUUCGUAUAGUCUUACUCCCAAGGGGGAAAUCACGUGCUUAGAUAGCAAGGUCGUUGAGUGUUCUUGAUGCUCAUGAUUUGGGUUGGCUUGAAAUUCUCACCUUGAGAGGUGUAGUAAGUGUGGGAAGUUUAGUCCCGGUUUUGUAGGCUCAUAUGAGAUCUUCAGUGGAGUUGGUAAGGUUAUUUUGGAACUAGAGUUGCUUAAUGAGUGAUACCGGUGUGUCCGGUUUUCUAUGUCUCUUGGACAUAGAAGGGUGUUGGAGGUCCGACAUUCAUAAAUUCCUUAAGGAGGAUUGGGAGUUAAUGAGAAUCCCUCUAAUUUAGAAAUACAGAAAUACUGGUAGGGAUUUUUGACCGGUAAGUUAACACAUAAAAGAACAAGGAAGUUGCUUCCACGAAAGUGUUAAGGACUGGUCUUUUAGUAAGGGUUUUAGGUGAGGGUGCUACUUGGGAGGCUGAUGGCCAAUAAGAAGUCUCGCUAUCCUCAUCCUUUUCCUUGUAUACCUCCUUUAGCAUUAAUAUGAUGAGUUCCUCAUGAUUUUUUUUUAUGUGAGGUCAUGUGUGAUUUGUAUGUUUCCAUGAUUUCCUUAUGUGGUGCAUGUUCAUGAAAGUUUGUGAUUUAAAAUAAAAUGAGUUUACAUGAUUAAUUUUCCUCAUGAUGAAGUGCAUUGAGUAGAAUUGCCUAUAGACUUCAUGGGACGAAUUGAUGAACAUGUUCUAACAUGGAGUUGAGAGAUUCCUCCUUGGUUGUAUGUUAUGAGUAUAGAUUGCAUGUACGCUCCAUGAGAUGACUUGUUGAGCAUGCUUUAGUUGUGCUUUUGAAAAUAUGUUGCAUAAGGACUCUACGAAGUUGUUUUGAGCAUGCUUUUAGUGGAAGAAUGUAGUUCCUCCUAUGUAUAUGAGUAAUAUUGAGUUAUCAUGAAUAAAGGGUUGUUAGAUGUAGUUCCUAAUUUCUUGUGUUGCAUUGAGUAUGCUUAUCUUGGAGUUGAAGUUUUCCUCUUUUGUUUGUGCGCAUUUAAAUGAGUUACAUGUAUGAUGGGUUACUAGUCUUGAGUUGUGACCUUGAGAAGUUCCUAGGAAGUCAUUGAAGGACGAACGUCCCCAAGGGGAAGAUAUUUUAACACCCCGUAGUCUAGUAGACCAUCUAGGGCUAAGUUCGAGGGCUACAAGUCAAGACUAGAGAGCACGAGCUAAGGCAAUAGGGCAAGGGCCAAGGCAAGAGCCAAGGCUGCCCCAUGGUUUCCAUGGCACUGCCUAUGACCACGAGAGCCUUCACAGCUCGUGGUGGCCACCACAGAUCAUGGUGCCACCCGUGGUGGUAAGGUAGUGUGCGCCUCAAGGCAGCCCAAGAUGACCUCCUCCACACGAGCCACGUCAUGGCUCGUGAAGGCCUUAACGGCUCGUGGGAGUGGCCUUUAAGGUGCCUUCAACUUUUGGGAAGCAAAGCCCUCAUACCAAGCUACUGGACCAUGGACCAUGAGCAGGACCACGGCUCGUGAGCCCUGUCCUGGUGCCUGGACUAAGCUGUCUAAGUGAGGGCAAAAUAGGAAAUUCCUUUUUUAGUUAGUAUUAAGUGGGGUCCUUUUUUAUAGACUCUAUACCCCCAUAUAAGUUAUUUUAACCCUUUAACCACCACAAUUAAGUCAUUAUUUCCAAAGACCCAAAUCAAAUCCCCAAAAGCUCUCUUCUCAAAUAUUUCUCUCUUUAGAAAACUCAAGAAGAAGAAGAGGGUCAAGCCAGGUCAAGUCACCAUUAUUUCAAGCUUGGUAGACUUUGUAAUCAAUGUAUGAUGGCUUAUUAAUUCAUGGAUUCCUUUCAUCCAUGAUGCCCCCAUGUUUCCCCCAAUUGUGAAGAUGAAUCCCCAAUUCUAAUUUGUGUUCCUUCCUAUAUUGUGGGUAUUGUUGUAUGUUGAUCCAAUUGAGUGGAUAAUGGCUGUUUAUGAUGAUUAUGAUGUAAUUGCAUGAUUUUAGUAUGACUAUGCAUGUAUUCUUGAUUAAUCUAAGAUUUUAGGGUGAAAUUGAUAUAGUUGGGGCUUAUGUCAUGAAAGAGGAAAUUGAGGGCUUAGAUGUGAUCUCCUAAGAUUGAUGAAUUAUUUGAGAUUAGAGUAUCUAACUAUGAAUUUCUUAAAACUAAAUCUUGUAGACAAGAAUUAAUUAGAUUAGGGCCUAUAUGAUGAUUCAUGAUUAAGUAGUGUUGAGAUUGAGUUUACAUAAUGAUAUAUGUCUAGAAUUGCUUAAGGAUGAAGCAUGUGGUUAGAUUGUCUUGAAAAUUAGGCAUAUAUGAUGACCAUGUGAAGUAUUGCUUGAGAGUAAGGUUUGUAGUAUGAAUGUGAGUUUUAGGGAUUUAAGGGUAAGAGCUAAUAUGAAUGAACUAAGAAUGUUAAGGCUUUAAUAGUGAAUCUAUUAUGUAUGUUGAUUUGUAUAAGGUAUUAUUGUGGAAGGACUUCACUCACAUGACCUAUAUUAUGAGUAUAUGUGAUCAUGUAUGUAAUUGAUUUGAUUGCUUGAAUUGUGAUUAUAUCCAUAUCUAAUGUAGUCAUUCUAGAUAUGUUGAUUUAAUAUGAGGUUUGACCCUUGAAAGAGCAAUAUAUGAUAUUAUGCAUGUUUUAUGAGACUUAUGUAUAUGAUUUAAGAACCUAUUUAGAGUAUGGUGAUAAUGACUAUGAUGUAAUGGCGGUGUUGUUCAAAGGCUACCCUCAUAUACAUAGUUAUGCAUGACUAUGAAUGAAAUGUCCAAGAUUAUGAUAAUGUUGUUGUGUUGAUUGAAAGGUUAUUCUCAUGAACACAUAAUGAAUAUGAUGUGAAAGGUUUUCUCACAAUAUGAUGAUUCUAAGGUUGAAAGGUUUUCUCACCUAAUUGAAUCUUACACAAACAUGUAGACAUGGACGGUGAAAGGUUUUCUCACCUAAUUGAAUCUAACACGAACAUGUAGACAUGGACGGUGAAAGGUUAUUCUCCCGCAUGAUCUAAUGAGCUAUCCUAAUAAAACAAGUUAGGGCUUAACAAGUACUCCAUGGGAAUUUUGCUUAACACCGAGUUGAUAUUGAAUAUGAGAUAAAAGUUUUUACGUUAGUUGAGUCCGGGUUUCAAAAUGGGUUCCUUCUAUGUCAGUUGCGUCCGGGUCCCCAAAACAGGUAUCUCUUGAGAUGGAAACCUUCUACCACAGUCGAGUUCGGGUUUAUAGUACCAAUCUCCAUAUCCCAUAAAUUACGUGCCCCCGUAGGAUAUUUAGCUAUUGGAUCCACCUAAAGCUAACACGCCAUGAUCUUACCUUAGGCAAUUAAGACAACCCUUUUUGGUGUGGGUAACACCAGAUUCCAUGAUAAUCUCACAUGGUCUAUGUUGGUUAAGGCUAAUUCCCACUAUCCCAAUAAGGCUAUGAAAUAUGAACUAUGGUUACUUGAGGAACUUUACUUAGCAUGGUGAGAUUAUGGGAUCUUACUCAGACAUUGCACUAGUAUUCUUUGACGGUAUUCAUGGUAUGUUCUCUUAUGUUAUGAUGAUCUACGUAAUGAAUAUGCUUAUGGCUUGUGCUUGUGAUGUAUGCUUGGUUGGAUGGUAGCUUGAAAGGCCUUUAUGAUACGUGUGUAACUAAAGAUGAAUGUUCCCUUGUCUAUGAGAAAUACGCUAAGGAUAAGGUCAAAUGGUAAGUAUGAUUAUGGUGGCCAAAAAGGGUACAUAGCAUGGGUGGGAUUAUGGGGUCUUAUCCAUGCAUUGCACAAGUAUACUUGGAGGUUACUUAUGAAGUAUUUCCUUAUGAAAUGAAGGUCUAAGUGUUGACUAUGUAUAUGGACCAUGCUUUAUGAUGCUUGCACUAUGUCUAUUUUGGAUAUUAUGCUUAUUAUUAGAUUGCUAUCUCUUACGUUUAUAACCUACGUCUCAUGAUGAUGUCUCUUAUACUUAUGACUUAUGCUAUUGUCUCUUAUGGUUAAGGUAUAUGUCUUAUGUUGAUUAAUGCCUCUUUUAUGCUUAUGUUGAUGAUUUAUGCUAGCCAUCAUAUUUAGUACAUUAUGGUACUAACACAUACUUUUUCCCACAUUCUUAUCAAAUGUAUGGUUUGGCGAUAUUGAGUUCCAUUCUCGUGGAUAGGUUUAGUAGAGAAAAGGAGUUGAAGACUUGGUGAGUCCUUAUAGCAUUGAGGAUGUGAUUACCUUUAUGUUAUGCCAUUUUUUUAUGUUCUAGACAAUUGUAUGGGCUGCGUCCCAAAGUUUUAUUCAAUUGGUUUUAAAUGGUUUGAGACAAAGUGUUAUAGACUUCCACAUGUUUUUAUAAAAGACUUCGAUUGUUAUGAAAAAUGUUUUAAAUUUCCGCAUCAUUUCUAUUAUCUUAUGUUAUAAUAUGCUAAGGGGCUUGUAUGAGACCCCUUCGGGGUUGAGUACACUUUUUUACAUCUAGGGGGUACCCCUGGGUCAUGACAUAGAAGGAUAGCCAAACCUACCUGAAGAAAGAAACUUCACCAGAACAACUCUACCAGAGCAAAUUUUCAACCACAUGCUAACCGAAAUGAUCCUCAACUAUCAAGAAUGGAAUUAGUUUAUCAAAAGGAGUCCAAUGAUACCCAUAUUGAUAUAAUUUGUAAUGGGGGUAAAACACAUCAAAAAUUACUUCGCAAAUCAAAAUGGUAAAAUCAGAUAUUUAGUUGAAAAUUAAGUUCUACAAGCCCAGAAUAGUUCCUGGUUGAAAAUCCCAUUAAAAAAGGUAAGAAUCGAGCUCAAAAUCAAGAAUUUCAUACUUUUCCUACUUGGGGAGAAAAACCCCAAAACCCACAUUUGAAAUGCGGUCAAAUGAGAAUUUUCAGAAAAACAUUGUCACAAUCAGUUUGCCCAUAAUAUAAGGACCUUAGAACCCGAAAACCAAUGAAAACCCAUUCCUAAUCGACCUUUAAAUCAACAAUUUUUUAUUUCUAUACUUGGGGGUUUAAAACCUCAACCUAAUGGAUAUAAAUCAUGUAAUUUGAAAAGGAUAUUCUUGGGAAAAGAGUGAAAUAAGGUUAGAAAUACGUACCCAAUGAUUAUGUAAGAAAAACGCGUCAAAAUCAUCUCAGGCCGAGUUUUCUAGCUCCCAAAUUGUCAAAAAUACAAAAUAGAUUUGAAUAGAUAUUUAACUCAGCGAUUUCAUCACUAAAACCCAUUUUUGGUCACUUAAAGUCUACUUUUAGCCACCUAAAUUGUGCACCAGCAAUCUUCAAGACCCUCGAAAACCAUUCGUAAUCCUAUAAACACGAACCAAUAAUGCAAAUACUUCAAAAAAUAUGUUUUGAAACCAAUGAAAUCGUCGAAUUUUAAAAAAAAGAUUAUUAUGACCGAAAUACCCCUCAAAAACCAUUUAGGCCAAAAAUUCAACUUUUUACCUAAAUAUCUAAAUCACAACCUAAGGUCUCAGGACUCUAACCAAUCACGUUCCUAGAACAAACUCGACAUUUUAGACUCAAUAAAACUGAUGAAUCCCCAUACGACACUGGAACUCAAAAUAUUGACCAAAGUAAACCAUAUAAAAAAUUCUCAACUCAAAAGGGUCAAAAUCAACAAAAACAUACUAGAUCACAUCGGGGAAAAAACCAACGAUUCCCGAAACCAAAACUAAACAUGAACAAGCUAAUAGGAAGGGAGAAAUGGUUAUUACGCAAUUCAAAUCAAAUUCACAAGAAAGGGGAUAUUACGUAUAUACUCUUAUAGUAUCAUUGACUAAUGAGUAAUUUCUGAAUAAGAAGCCCUAGUGAUACCAAUGUAUAUAUAUAUAUUAUAUAUAUAUAUAUAUAUAUAUAUAUAUAUUCUUAUAGUUAAGAAGUUGUAACUAUUCAAACUUCUCGUGUUAAAAGGAGAUAUCUUCUUUUCAGGAAAGAGAUAUAUACGACAAAACUUGUGAAAGGAGAAGAAAACAUGUGAACGUUCAAACGUGAAAAAAAAAAGAAAAAUAGAAAAAACAAAACCUUGUUCUCUUGUCAAUAUUUAAUCGACACAUAUCGAGACACUUAGUUUGUGAUCAACAACAAUCUUUGUUUCCUAGUGAUUCAAAGAGAGAUUUGGAGCUGAUCGUUUUGGUAGCGAAAUCACCAACAACAACUUCCACUACAAGUAUAAAAUUGCACAUCUUGAUGUUAUGCGAUGCUUCCAUGCGAAUUCACUAAGUUGUUGAAAAAAAAAUUGUUAUUUUUUUAAAAAAAUCGGUGAAGAAAAAAUUUGGAAGAUGUUAAGGUUUUUUAAAGUCUUUUUUUAAUGUGGAUUAAUCAUAUUGUAUAUAGAUUUUCUUGUCCUAUAAUGAUACUGACUCAUAUUCUAGAUAGGAUUCCCUGUCCUACCAUGAAAGUGAUUCUAUGGUUUAUUUGUUUUAUGAAAAUUUGCUGUUGUUUUUCUAUAUUUUUAGUUCAGCAUGUUAAAACUAUGGCAUGAAAUUUUAUUUUCAUAAUUUACUCAUUCGUAACUUACCGUGGAUAUGUUAUGAGAGUAAAACAAAUUUAAAACGAGUGAGAUAUGAUUUUUUGAAAGUUGGUUGUUUUGGGACUCUUUUCAAGAACAUAUUGCUUCUGUUGGGUUGCAUUUUGGUAAUUCUAUGUUAAAACGUUUUACAUAAAACUUGUCUUUUCAUGAUUUAGUUGUUUAUUGCUUUUCGUGGAUAUAUUAUAAGUGUAAUUCAGAUAAAAAAUGAAUGAGUUGUGAUCCUUUGAAUCUUCAAAUAAUCCCUUUUGGUGGAAACUCCUUUUAUAAAUAAUUUUUCCUUCUACCGAAAAAAUUUGAUAUGCUUUGUCGCAUUAAAUGGUAUUAUCCAUAUUUCUAUUUUCUGAUUCUCAUCUCUGAUAUGGCCGAAUAAGAACUUGCUCAUUUUUCUCCAAAUGGGAGAGGUACUGAAAGAGGAGAAAAAAGAAAAAAGUAGAAGAAUUCAUUGCGAGUAUGAUUUAGAUUCUAAGCCCGACUCAUUAGGAAUAACUCAAGGGCGCAACAAAAUCAAGAUAGAGAUAUAAGAGCGCGUAAAGGGAAGGAAUAAGACUUCUUGAGGAUUUCAAGAAAAUCCAUAUGGAUCCUCUUGACUCUUUACUAGAUUUCCCCAAAUCGUUCAACAUGAAAUAAGAUGAGAUUCACGAAAAAUUUGUUUAUGUUGAGGAUCACAAUGCAUUUGUCGUUUGGUUUCACUCCUUACCACAGUACUGGAAGAUUUAACUGAUUAGAACUUAUUAUGACAUUCGGCAUAAUGAACCGUUAUGGAGGUUUACGAUAAAUAUAGGAGUUGUGGAUAAAACUUCACACAGAAGCAUUGUUUUGUAUUGAAUAUCUUGUUUAUUCUUUACAAAUUUUGUCAUGACACUACCACAAAUAAGAUAUAUAGCUACGAAAUUAUUAGCUACGACAUCAAAUUCGUCACUAAUUGUUCACUUUUAGUGACAAAAUUUACUUUUCGUGCUUAAAUAUAUGAAACAUAUACUUUUAGUGAAGAAACAUAAAAAUCCGUAGCAAAGUUUUGUCCACUAAAGUUUCGCACCAAAAAAUUAAUUGGCGCCAUUUGUUAAGUAGUGUUACUCAGGAAUUUAAAGUUAUCGGUGACACAUUAAAUUUUCACUAAUAAUGUAUCUAAUUCAUGACAAAUUAUUUUUUUGCCACUCAAGAAAACUAAUGUGUUUGGAAGCCCGCGGCCAAACAAAUAUUUUACAGAGAGCCAACAAGAAAUUCCAUUAAUAACUGGCCGUUUUGAUCCUUCAGAACAACUCGAUGAAUUUAAUAGAUCGUUUUAGGAGGCCCUAAUCACUAUAAAUCGAACCUAUCCAAUUGCUACAGUACAAUGGUUGGACUGUUCAGGGCCUAGUUGUACCUACUGUCUUUUUUUUGGGAUCAAUAUCAGCAAUGUAGUUCAUCCAAUGAUAAACUUAAUCUGAAUUAUAGAGCUACGACACAAUCAAAUACGAAAGAACAAAAUGUUGAAUGAAUCGUACCAGUCUCUACUGGUGGUUAUUACUCAUUUUUGUACUUGCUGUUUUAUUUUCCAAUUAUUUCUUCAAUUAAGAAAACGAAAGAGAAUAAAUAAGAUUCUCUUAGCUCAUUCGGAAGGAUCUCAUAAUUUAAUUAUCCAUGACUGUUUAUGUCUCUAGCAUGACCACUUGAUGAAAUCUGGAGGGAAGUGGGGUAAAUGGCCGAUACUACUGGAAGGAUUCCUCUUUGGAUAAUAGGUACUGUAGCUGGUAUUCUUGUAAUCGGUUUAAUAGGUAUUUUCUUUUAUGGUUCAUAUUCCGGAUUGGGUUCAUCCCUGUAGUAAUCGACUGAAUUGAGUUGUCAACAUGAAAGCGUAAGAACUUAACGGGAUUCCCUUCUUUGUUUGUUUGAUUCGAAGGGGAAGGGCCCGUUGAGUUCUUAAGAAUCAUAAUAUUUUUUUCGUCUAAAUGAUAAAAUGGAUUUCUUUUUCUUUUCAAAAACUCCAUUUUUCUCAUUUUUCUGAGCAUAUUAAAAUGGAAUUUUUUUUCUUUUCAAAAACUCCAUUUUUCUAAUUUUUCUGAGCUUGUUUUUGAAAAAAUCACUUCAUUGAGUUAGUCAGACCACCUCUUCUUUUUAUAU
rnacentral:lncRNA from 1 species